rnacentral:lncRNA from 1 species
AUUAAGCUCAACUAUGGAACUACGUAUGCUGGAUUGUUGGAUAAAAUCUACGCAACUACGAGCAUUAAGAAGAAGGAUUUUGAGUUGAACAUCAUAUGCAGAUACCCUAUAUCUUCAAGGGAAUAUAAGCCCAUCCCAAUAAAGAAUGACGAGGCCGUAGAACUUAUGUUGGAAGUGCCAUGCAGAUCAUCUAGAGUCUAUUGUGUAGAGAUAUAUUUGGAGAAAGAAGCAAGGCAAUGUGUGAAAAUCACGUUUCUGUGUAGAUCGAUCUCUGGACUGAUCUGCUCUCGACAUUGUAAUUUUAUUGUGUUGAAUUGGCUUCUAUAUCAAAUCAGUGAGUGUUAAGGGCUUGAAUUAAGUUUGGUAUGGCAUGAUAAUAUGUGAUCAUGGAGGUUCUUUUCGUCUACUCCCUGAAGAAGGGUAAAAAUGACAUUUUUAGCAUGGUUGCCCACCUGCCCUUUCUUCAAUUGGUGAUUGAGCUACCGGAUUCGACGAAGGGAGGAGCCAAGGGACAUGUGUUGGUCCGGGGUGCCUGGGCAGGGCUACUGGAGCAUUCAGAGAGGCCAUUUUCCCCAAACCGCUCGCUGGUGCUUCCGGGUAAGUCAGCUUGCGGGGUUUGUUCGACAUUUGUCUUGUUGUUCUUCUUGCUGGGGUUAUCAGAUGGCUUAACAUCUUUGGUUGCUGAUAAUGCAGGUUCGGACAAGAGGGAUCGCGUAGUCGAGUGGGUAGAAAAAGCGUCGUUCGCUCGACUGAACAAGUUAUUUGAGAUUACUGCCAUUGAGAGGCAUCAUGAGAUACUGCUCACUGCGCGAAACCUGCUGGUCGUUGUCCGGGAGCCCCAAGCGUACGACAUCAAUAUUCUCCCCAGGAAGUUGCCAAAGAAGAUAGUGUCUGGGGAGCAUUACGUUUUGAAAGAUCUCCCUUUCUACAAGGAGGUGCAAAAGGCAGACGCUCAGAAACGCCAAACACGCCUUGACGAUCGGGAGGGGAGGAGGAAAGAGGGAACUUUGAGGAAGGAUCCUGGUAAAAAACGCUCCGCACCCUCACUUCCUACUGGCGCCCCAGCGAAAAAGAAGAACAAGAAGAAGUUGGUUCUUAAUAAGGGGAAAAAAAUAAAACUUCCAACUCCUCCUAAGGAAGUGGUAAUGCCGCCUCCAACUUUUGUGAAGGAAAUAACAAUAAGAGAGCCCGAGGUCCCCCCCUUGCCCUCUGUCUCUAACGGCUUCGGACGCCUUACGGGUCUGAACCAUUCGGGGCCUUCAUUGUCAGUGGCUGGACGUCUGACUCUUCUGGCUGAGGAUAUGACUUCAAUAAAUCAGCCCGACUCUCCCCAUCCGGAUGCGGACGCAGCCGGGGCCUCUUGUGCUGCAGCAUCGCCUCCUAUGGCACCCCCAACGGAAGAAAUGGGAGUAGAAAGUCAAGGUUUGCCUCCUUGCGAGCCAAACCCCCUUGCCUUUGUACCGGUGAAAGGGCCAGCUACAAGGAGGUCUCGUCCGGCCUGUGACUUAAAGUUUGGCCUCGUCGGGCGGCUUCAGGAUCGUUUCUUGGAAACCAUCAAAGUCAGUUGCUCAUCCGUCCAGGAUGAUCAUCCUGAGGGCAGUGAGGUGGAGAUGGCAGAAGAGAACCCAGCUGCCCCGGCGCUGGUCCCGAAUGGGGGUUUACUUGAAGAGGCCCAGCCGGUCGAGAAUGAAGGGGCCCCAGACCCGGAGGGGGGGUCACUCUCUAAUGCCUCAUCAUAGGAGAGUUCUGUUGAUGAUGCAGCUUGCAUUUCCGCUAACUCUUUCAGCUACGCGGAGUUGGAAGAGAAGCUAAAACGGAUUCCACCCGGCUCAAAUGUUGCUAUGCCUUCAGCAAAAAUGUUCAAAGCGGUGGAAAUGGUAUAGUUUGCUUUCUUGAUUUUUCUCGCCAUACUGAUGUGUUUGUCACAUGGAUUGUAAAAUUUUUUUUGCUUUAUGGGUUUUUCUGCAGCUGGUGAGCGGUCUUCGCGGCAUGGCCCAACAACAUGACCUGUUUUCUGACCUGCUACGGACCGCUGAUUAUAUGAAGGCCUUCGCCUCUCAGCGCAGAAACAGUGAAGAGGAGCUGCGCUUGAGACUGGAGCGGGCCGAAGCCAGUUUAUCCGCUGCUCGAAAGGACAACGAGGCUCUCCGAGUAGAGCUUGCUGAGGCAAAGAGCCGAGAAGAAUCUGUGGACACCCGUCUGCAUGAGGUGAAGGACGAGAUGGCCCUUCUGAGAGGGGAGGUGAGGCAACUCCGGACGGAGGUAUCUAUCGAGAAAAAGCAGAGAAAGGAUUUGCAACUACGUUUAUCAACGCAAAAAGAAGAGUUGGAGGGUGAGUUUGCUGUGAAAAGGGAGGAGCUUAAAGCGGACUACCAGAAGCAAGUAGACGAAAUGUACUUUUUCGGCUACCGUUGCUGUAUGAAAAAACACAGUAUCAAACGGGACGUUCCUUCAAUUCCCUUGGGUGAAGAGGAGAAGCUGCGCGGCAAGCCUGCUUAAUGAGAGCUUUUCUUUUUGUAAUUUUUUACUACUACCCUCUCUUUGUAUCUUGUAGUCCGAAGAACUCUUUGUAUACAACUUCACAAAUAUUAAUAAAACAUACUUAGUCAUAUUUGUACUUGUCUUUUUCUUUCACUGGUAAUAUUGUUUCAAAUUAGACACAUUCCAUGGUCUAAGUAAUGGAGUUCCGUCUAGCUUUUGUAGAUGAUAAGCUCCACUUUCACUUGAUUUAGAUACUAUAUAGGGUCCUUCCCAGUUGGCUUGAAAUUUUCCCACUCCUAUUUCAGUAGUAUUAUCGAAAACUUUUCUAAGGACUAGCGUACCAUUUUUGAAGCUUUUGGGUCUUGCUUUGCGAUUGUAGUGAGCGGAUGCCCUUUGUUGAUAGUUUGCCAUCCGAAUGGAUGCAGUUUCUCUUUCUUCGUCUGCCCAGUCCAAAUUUCUUCCUAACUCCUCAUUUGCAUCAUCAUGCGUUCCUAUCUCGGUCCAGAUAGUGGGUAGCCCUAUUUCAAUAGGAAUGAUUGCAUCCAUACCGUAUGCGAGGGCAAAGGGAGUGUUUCCUGUCGGGCGUCCGGGUGUGGUUCGAUAAGCCCAUAGGACGCCAGGUAGCUCCUCCACCCACUUUCCUUUUGCUUGCUCGAGCCUUUUCUUUAAGGCAGUAAUUAACGUCUUGUUUGUGGCCUCUGCUUGCCCAUUACUUUGAGGAUAACGCGGUGUGGAGUAUGAAUUCCAGAUGUUUAGUUCCGAACAGAAAUUCCGAAAUGCGAUGCUAUCAAACUGCGGACCGUUGUCGGCUAUAAUGAUUUGGGGGAUUCCGAAGUGGCAGAUGAUUUUUUUCCAUACGAAUUUGGUGACAUCUUUGUCUUUGAUACUAGCAUACGCUUCAGCUUCUACCCAUUUACUGAAGUAAUCCGUGGCGACGAGCAGGAAUUUCUUCUGGGCGGGUGCGGUUGGGAGGGGUCCCACUAUGUCCAUGCCCCACUGUGCGAAGGGCCAGGGGCCUGAAAUUGGUUUCAAUGUCUCCGACAGCACAUGUGGUAUGGGGGCAUGCCUUUGACAUUUGUCGCAUUUUUUGACAUAGGCUGCCGCAUCCUUCUUCAUCGUGGGCCAAUAAUAUCCUUGCGAAUGAGCCCUAUGCGCCAGAGAUCGUCCUUCAAAAUGAUUUCCACAUACUCCCUCGUGCAAUUCAGCUAAUACAUACAGGGCCUCCGAAUGGUUUAGACAUCGAAGGUAGGGACCUGUGAAGGACUGUUUAUACAAAUGCCCCCCAAUCAGGGUGAAACGGGUGGCUUGCACCCAAAUUUUGUGUGCUUGCUUGGGAUCUUUGGGCAGAGUGCCUGCCCGAAGGUCUUAUAAUGUCGUUCGUCCACUCUUGGCCAUCUGCCUGCUUUGCCUCAAUGGUGUUGCAAGUGAAAGCUUUCGCGACGGAAGGGUUGACUUGCACAUGUAUAGGCAACAAUAUGGCUUCUUUGAUAGGGAGGGAGGCAGCUAUGCCUGCCAAGGCGUCGGCGCGCCCAUUUUCAGUUCGUCUGAUUUUUUCGAUCGUCCACUCGGUGAAUCGUUGUAAGGUGUCUCUUACUUUAGUUAGAUAUCGCGCCAUGCAGGCAUCCUUAGCUUUGUAUUCCUUCUGGACGUGUCUUACCACAAGUUGGGAAUCACUAUAGACCCGGAGCUUGGAAACGGAUAGAGUCAGGGUGAGGUCCAAUCCGGAUAGGAUGACCUCAUAUUCCGCUUCAUUGUUAGAGGUGGGGAACCCCAACCGGAUGGCUUGCUCCAGAUGUUCUCCUGUUGGGGAGUGUACCAGGAGCCCUACCCCGGAUCCUGACGAUUGGGAGGCUCCAUCGACUCGCAAAGUCCACCAUUCUUCUUUGCUUGGUUCUUUGUGUUGGAUGGGCCUUCGGGAGUAUUCUAGCACGAAGUCAGCCAUCACUUGGCCUUUCAUGGACAAUCUGGGUUGGAACUCGAUUCCAAAUUCACUCAAUUCUAUGGCCCAUUGAAGCAUUCUUCCGGUUAAGUCUGGUUUGUGCAGAAUGUUGCGAAGGGGUUGGUCAGUUAGCACGAUCACACGGGUGGGCUUGGAAAUAGGGGCGGAGCUUCUGGGCGGCACUUCGAAGAGCUAAGGCAGUUAGCUCUAUCUUUGAAUACCUGGUUUCUACAUUCGCCAAUGCUCUGUUGACGUAGUAGAUAGGUUUCUGCUCCUUGGGUGAGGAGCAGCGGAAUAGAACAGCGUUGAUCACCCACUCUGACACAGCCAGAUAUAUGUAUAAUUUUUCUUCAGGGAUGGGGCUGCUCAGGAUGGGCGGUUGCCUAAGGCAGUGUUUAAUUCUUUCAAAAGUGUUUUGACAACUGUCUGUCCAUCCGUUGGCUCCAACUUUUUGUAUUGCCAAGAAUAAUGGUCGCAGUUCAUCAGUGAAGCGGGCUAUAAAACGCCCUAGCGCGACAAGUUUGUCUGUGAGGCGUUGUAAGUCCUUUUUGCUCCUGGGGGGUGGUGUUUCUAUGACUGCCUUGACUUGAUCUGGGUUGACCUCUAUCCCCCUUUGGCUGACCAUAAAUCCCAGGAAUUUGCCAGCACUUACGCCAAAGGCGCAUUUAGAAGGAUUCAACUUCAUGUCAUAUUUCCUUAAGAGGUGGAAGACUUAUUGCAAGUGGAAAACAUGCCCCUCUCGGGUUUUGCUUUUAACCACGAUAUCGUCAAUAUAUACCUCUACUGUGCGGCCGACCAGAGGUUUGAAGAUCUUCAUCAUCAGUCUCUGAUAAGUGGCGCCAGCGUUUUUGAGUCCGAAUGGCAUGACUUUAUAGCAAUAGAGACCAUGUGGCGUUAUGAAGACUAUUUUUUCUUCAUUAGCUGGGGACAUGGGGAUUUGGUGGUAUCUGGAGAAGGCGUCCAAGAAAGAGAGCAUCCCUUGCCCAGCAGUGGAGUCCAUGAUUUGAUCUAUUCACGGCAAAGGGAAAUUGUCUUUUGGACAUGCAUUAUUGAGGUUGGUAUAGUCGAUGCAUACCCGCCAUUUGCCUUCUUUUUUGGGUACCACUACUAUAUUUGCCAACCAGUCCGGGUAAUCCACUUCUCUGAUGAAUCCGGCUUCUAGCAAUUUGUCUAUCUCAUUCCGGAUAAUUUUUUGUCUGUCCGGGUGAAAACGCCUAACCCUCUGCCGGAUGGGUUUGGCUGUUGGCAAGACGUUAAGUCUAUGAAAGGUAAUGGAGGGAUGAAUUCCCUUCAUAUCAGAAUGUGCCCAUGCGAAGACGUCAUGGUUUUGUCUGAGGGCGUUCUGUAUGUUCUGGGUCUCUUCUGGUGUUAGGAGGGAACUGAUAUUCGUAAGGUGAGUAUCUUCUUCCGAAAUUUGGAUUGCUUGCAAGGGAUCCGCUGUCGAGGGAUCUUUGUCCGCCGGACCCAAUAAUUGCUAUUGGUCGCGUGCAUGGCUGGACUCAGGGAGGGAUGCAUCCUCCUGGUUGGUCCCUGCUUCUCGUGCUAUCUGGUAGCAUUGGCGAGCGGCUAACUGGCUGCCAUAUAGGUCAAUUUGCCCAUCCUUGGUAAGGAAACUUACCAUUUGAUGAUAUGUAGAGGGGAUGGCUUUCAUGUAAUGUAGCCAUGUGCGCCCCAAGAUGACAUUGAAGGGUGAUAAAUCUUGUAGCACCGAAAAUUGUACGUUGAGAGUGACUGGGCUAGCUUGGACCGGCAGUAUAAUGUCUCCCAAGGAAGUAGUUGACGACCCGUUGAAUCUGGAUAGGAUUCGCCCAGGGUUUUCGAGGCCUGUGAGACUGUGCCCCAUGUGGUUAAUGACCGAUGCUUGCACAAGAUCGGCCGAACUGCCUGGGUCAACUAGGAUGCGUCUCACGUCGAAGUCUCCUAUUUCUAGGGACAUGAUGAGGGCGUCGCGGUGCGGCUGCAAUAUCCGGGUGGGGUCUACUGGUGGGAAAAUAAUUGUCCCAUCUAUGGGGCGAGGGCCCCCUCCAGUUAUCCCAGGCCAGAUGGAGUUGAUACGCUCGCACCGAUGCGGCCCGCAACAACUUUUGUCUCUUUCGUUUGGAGUCAUACUCCUCGUCAGAUGGGCCUCCGUUAAUAUAGUUUAUAACGACCUUGGGGACGGUUGGGGCCCUAGGGGCUCCAGAGUUGUGAUUUUGGGAAGCAUCUCUACCUUCGGCAUCUGAGAGGAGGUAUUACUUUAAAUGUCCCGCCUUGAUGAGUCUUUUAACCAAAUAAUGGAGGCACCUGCAUGUCUCUAUUGUGUGACCAUGUUCCUUAUGGAAGGCGCAUCUCUUGCUAUGAUCUCUUUUGGAUGGGUCCGUUCCGAGGGGUCUAGGCCACCUGAAGUCGGACAUGUCUCGGAUCAUAAGGAGAAACUUCUCAUAUGAUAUGGAAAGGGGUGUGAGGGGUGGCAUUUUCGGGCGACUCGGCCCUUCCUGCCUUCGAUCGGACGGCCUUGACCGGUCCGGAAGUUUGACACUUCUUUCCGCGCCACUACUAGAUGUCUGUCCAGCAACUAAGACUUGCUAGGUGGCUGCUCGCAUGUCAUCCUCGAGCAUUGAGUAUUUGUUCGCACGCCGGAACAAGUCGUCCAUCGUUGCAGGAGGCUUUUUAGCGAGUGAUUCAUAAAAUGGGGUGCCUGGACAGAUGCUUUGCUUGAAGAUCUAUAGGACAACAUCCAUGCUAUAAGCCUCUACCUGCAGUAUGGCUUGACCAAAUCGCUUCACGAAUUCCCUUAAGGAUUCGUUAUCCUGCAUUUUUAUGUUUUGCAGAGUGUUGAUGUUUUGCUUAUGUCGAGCGGAGUACAAGUAUUGUCCCACGAAGGCCUCUGAUAGGUUUCUGAAAUUACCAACAGAGUUGGGAGGUAGGUGAUGAAACCAUGAGAGGGCCUGCCCUUGUAGGCUGGCGGGAAAUACUUUGCAUAGCAGCGCGUCGUUGCCUAUAUCGAGAGUCAUGAGCUGUCGAUAAUGCAUGAUAUGAUCGAAGGGGUCGUUGGACCCAUCAUAUGUGGAGAAUUUGGGCACGAGGAAUCCCCUUGGGGGCUCGUAAUGAAUGAUAUGAGAGCAGAAAGGCGUGGAGAGCAUGUCGUCCAGCCUUUUUGGUGAUGGAGUCAAUGGGUGGCUCAUUUGGGAGGUUUCUCCCAGAUUGUCGUACCGUUAGGUGCGGUUGAACGUUCUGCACCAUAGGGGUGACCAUGGGGUCACGGUGUGGGAGAACGUUUUGCACCAUAGGGGCGACCAUAGGGUCAGGAUGCGCUUCCCAGGUUGUGGCUACUGGUGGCCUUGGCCUCCUAGGAUCCUGUGGGCCAAGUCUUGCGCGCAUCAAAUUUGACAACUGGGGCCUUUUGUCGCGUUGUCUUUUCGCUGAAAAAUGAGUAGAGUCUGAGCUUUCCUCAUGAGGAGCUCGGUUCAUGGGAGUGGGUGGCUCAUGUGGCCUAACGUUGUAUGCUUCUGGGAUGGCUCCUGCUGUCCUAGGGUAUAUUGACUCUAGCUCUGGUGGCCUUGAGUUUGCUACCUGGCCUUUUGAACGCUGAUGACGGGGAGGCCCCGUCGACGAAGCCUGGAUGCGUAGUACCGCGUUUUCUUCUCUUAACCUUUCGGUCUCCUGGAGGAGAGCUUGUAGUUGUCGUUCGUUUGCCAACUGUCUUCUUUCGAUGGCUUGACGCCAUUCAAAAUUAUCUUCCUCUCCUCUACCAGAUGAACGGCUUCGGGAAGGUGUGGUCAUCUUUACCGGUGACUGAAUCAGCGAAAUUUCCCACAUACGGUGCCAAUGUUGAGGCCUCGUGUCCCUGGUGAUCCACGUAGUUGCCAAAUGGAUGGACGCACGAUUUCAACCAAUAUAGAUUCCUGGUUCAGUUGUUCCUGUAAAAGGCGUCCGGACAGGGUGUCCGGACACACCCUCCGAUGGUUUUGUCAGCCAUGGUGAGAGAGAAUAAUCAGUUGGCCUUUUACUAGGUAUAGCAAGCUUACCUUCCUCUUUGUGUGAAGGUUCAUAUAUAUAGUACCAGAAGCUUUGUUUCCCUCUUUAAUGGUAGGGAGAUAUUUUGGCUUGUCAUGAUGCCACUAGGUGGUGGCAGGGCCAUCAUCACCCUACGGGUGGCUGACAGAGAUCGUGGGAGGCACCGUGGCUGUCAGAGAUCGUGGGAAGUGACUUGCCGUCACUUCAUUCCUGUCCUUUCACUCUACAAGUGGCGGAACGUGGGCCAUGGCAGGCUGUUAUGAUGACGUGCAAGACUUGCUUACUUCAGUCAAUGAUCCGGACAAACAUAUCCGGAUAGUAUAUGUCGGUCGUCCGGAUGCGAUGUGGCGGUCGUCCGGAUGUUAUGUUUGUGAGUGUCGUGUGCCUCUCCUAGAGGGAGUCCGAAUAGGAGAAGCGCGCCACGUGUACUCUUGGGGAAAUCCGGAUGGGGGUGAUCCGGAUGAGAAUGCGUGACACGUGUCAUCAGGAAAUGUGUGCCACGUGUCAACAGGGGGAGGGGUCCCUACAUUCACAUCAUUGAGGUAGGUCACACUACGAAUGUAACAACUAUGUGUUGCAAUUGUCCAAAUGAAUUCCACGUUUUCAUUUGUGAUUGAAAACUAAGUUCUAGUUUGAAAGGAACUAACAACUACAAACCUUUAUACAUGCUUAAUGCUAUGUAUCAUGAUAUUUAUAAUCCGAACUUUGAGUAAAUUAAUACAUUAUCCAUGUACAUGUACCAAAAUAGAUAAAACCUUUUCAAGAUAUACAAUGAAAUUCAUAAUAAACAAUUUUAUUAAUAAGAUAAAAUAUCGAAUAAAGUGACUUAAAAGAUACAAUCCUAACAAAGAACUUGAUACAAAAAAUAUUAAUUGUGCCUGAAGUUUUACUUUUGUUCCUACUUUUACCUUUUUUUCUUUCUUUUUCUAACUUUUUCGUUCCCUUUGUUUUCGAGCCAAUCUCAAAUGAGAGCUUAAGCACAAAGGAAAAUUCGUCCUGUCCAAAUUCCUUGGAGCACAUGGUGGCAGUCCUCAUUAAAUUCAUCAAUUACUUAAGCACUAAGUUAAAAAAGAAUUAGAGAAAAACAACUGGCCACUUGUUUCAAUGAUAAUUAAUCACUAAGAAUUGAUAAGAAAAAAUGAGAACGAUCUCAGGUAUGAAGACCAAAUUUAGAACCAAAUAUAUUAAUUUUAAUUUAUUUCUUUAUAUGUUUGUACCUAGCUUUAUAUAAUUAUACUUUUAUUUCAUAGUUUAAAUUUUAUAAUUAAAUGACUUAAAUUAAAACAAGGAUGUGAUAAAAAAUUAUUAAAGUUUGAAUAGUGGGUGGAUGGAAAGACCAAUCAUUUUAUUUUGUAUGUUGAGCUAUCCCUAUUCAGUUUUAAGUCAGCAAAGAGAACUGAUUCUAUAUCAUCUUCACCCUCUCUCUAUUUCUCAAACCCUUUCUUCUCAUUACUCUUGCGGCUUCAGUGUCUCAUCAGCUUCAGGUAAAUCCAUUAUAUUACGUUUCUUCCUUUCUCUCAUUAUCUAACAGAAGAGACCAAUGCAGAUCAUUUGGGUUACGAUAAUUUAGCUGAUAAAAUCCAGUCGAAGCACGACAAGUGUAAAUUUUCUGUUAGCUUGAAUAACCUUCCAAUGCCUUCGAAUUACUAUAUUGGAGAGACUUCAUCCAAGCGUUCAAAUAAUGGUUCUAAAAGUGACCAUAGCAAGGUACUGGUAAAUGCUAUUAGUAUUUUUAAAUGCAGUUCUGUCUAAUUAAUUCAUUUCAUAAAGAAUGGCAUUUACUUUUUGCAUGCAAUUCUUUUUGGAGGGAAAAUAGUCCUAUUCCUUCUUUCUAAGUUUGAGGCACUUAGACUCAAACUAAUCAUACCAGCCUUGUAAUAAUCUGGAGCCCAGGCACAUUAAUGUCUUCCAUGAAUGGCUAGGGAAAAUUCAGAGGAUGGGGAAGAUUAUUUUAUGUCAAGAAUAUAAUAGAUCGAUUAAUUAAUAGUAAUCAUAAUAUCAGUUUUGAUUCCAUGAUAAAUUUAGUCGCACUGUUCUUUUUUUUUCCUUUUUCAUUUGCUCAGAUGGAGGGACGAAAGUGGGAGGAGCUAAACAUGGACUGUUUGGUGAAUGUGUUUCGAAGAGUGGGAAUGGAGUCGUUGCUCUUGGAUGUUCCCUUUGUAUGCAAGUCAUGGUACAAAGCAAGCCUUGAUCCUAAGUGCUGGGAGCAUCUGAUUUUUCCAAAAUACAUCAAACCUGAUGGUAUAUGGGACACCAGCCCCUUGGGAGAAAGGUUGAUGAUGCAAUAUCGAGAAAGUUUCUCUGUCACUGCAUUCAUAAAGUCUGUGGUUGCCCGUAGCAAGAGACACGCUACUCUACUUAGGCUCCCCAUCUGCUGCACCAAAGAGGCAUUGGAGUACGCUGCUAACGAGUAAGCCACCUUAAAUUAUCUAUCAAAUUAUUUCACUUCGGAAAAAUGCUAUUUUUCUGCUGUUAUUCUUUUUCUUUUUGGCUUCUGUAAUUCCUUGCUCAAGAUGCAGUUUUAUAUUGAUUUGGUAGCUUUUACACAAGAUUUGCCAAUAUUGUGGUUUCCAUUCAUCUUAACUUAUUUAAAAAGACUGCACAAUUAAGAAAUGGGAGAAUGAAAUCAAUUUUUAAUAUGCAUAGUGAUUUUGGAUACCUUGUUAGACUUCUAUAAAAUGACCCCAUGCCUACAAGUUCAAGGGAUUGAUGACAAAUUCACAUGGUCCAAUAUCAUUUUACCAGGUGUGGUUUUCUCUAGUCAUUCCAGGUGUGAGGAAAACCACUGGCUACAAACUAGCAUUUUUUGGCUUUUACAUGCAUUGUUUAAUUUCCUGCUUCCUUGGUUUCUUUUUACUUGUUCCAGGUCUCCCACAUUGAAGACUUUGGAUUUGGAUGCUAUUCUACUUUUGAAACAAUCAACUAUUAUUCCAAAACUGAUAAGCAAGUGGAAAAAUCUGGAGAUGUUGACAUUGGGGAGCAGACGAAACAUGGUGGAAAUCCUAUCCCAAAUCAGUCUUCACUGCAACAACUUCAUUAAGCUAUUUGCUCCAGGAAUAUAUGUUGGGAAAGAUGAAGUAACAGCUAUGAUCACCUCAUUGCCAAACCUUAAGUACUUGGAUCUAAAGGGAUCAACGAUUGAGCAGAAAAAUCUAGUGAUGAUAUUGCAAGGCUGCAAAGAGCUCCAACUUUUAGACGUCAGGGAUUGCAUUGGAUUUUGGGAGGGUAAUGCUGAGAUAUUAGAGCUCGCUUCCCAUAUUCCUAAAUUCAUGUGUGAAGGUUCUAUCUAUGAGGAAUAUGACACAUAUAUUGAUGGUGAUGUCGAUUCUGAUUACUAUUCUGGUUAAGAGUUUGUGAGUUGAGUUUGUUAACCUAAAGCCUCUAUGAGAAGUUCCCUUCUGUAUGCCUCUAUGUAAUGAGUUGAAUUAUUCAUGACAAUAAUUGAUCCAUUCCCAUGGACAUUAUAUAUGUAAAAAAAUUGUAUUGGCAAUUCCAUUCGAGUUGUUUACCUAGUACUUCGAAAUAAAAGAUCAACUUGUAGUGAUCGGGUAUUUUAAGUCAUGUUGGAAUUUCAAGUUUGAAAAUUCUUCAUUUUGGGUGGUUUAAAAGUAAAAAUAAAAAAUAAAAAUAAAAAUGAAGAAUACGUGUCAAUUUUGGGUUGGCGAAAUUUGAAAGAUUUUAUUGGUCAAUCAAAUAAAUUAAAUUUUUGUCUCACAUCAACUUUUUAGUAGGAAAUUCAUUAGGGUUGUAGAAAUCAAAAUUUUCCAAAAAAAAAAGAACGGAAAUGAAAACAAAAUAAAAUAAAUAAACAAAUAAAAAAUUAAAUUAAAUUAGUAAUUAAUAAAUUAAAGAAAAUUAAAAUAUUUGUAUUCGUGUUUGAUAAUUUUUUGAUGAAGUGUAGUUGAAAAAAUGAAAGAAAAAAAGAAAAGGAAUUGAAUUGAAGAAAAAAAAACUAAAUUAAUAAUAUAAUAAAUAUAUAUAAUAUAUUUGGGUUGGGUUGGCUGCCACAUUUAGUGAUUUACUCAAUUAGAAAAGAAAAAGGGUGAAGAAGAGAAAAGAAUUAGAAAGUGGGAAAGGAAAAAAAAAAAGUGACAGAGAGCGGGGCGUCACUGAUAACUAUAGUGGGAAAAACCACAUUGCUCUUCCGGCCAUACCGUUAAACGAGUUCCUUUUCUCGUGAAAUUUUAGGGAAAUACUCUACUUGACACGAGGGACAUUUGUACGAUGUCAGAUUUUGUUUUCAACGGUUGAAUUGUUAGAUCUGUGGUAGGGAGACUUAACAUUAAAACUUUUAUUUAAUGCAUUUUUCUUCAAAAACUUACAAAUCUCAUUGUUGAAAGUUAAAUAGGCAAUAUUUGUGAUACGAUAAAUUUUAUUAAGUGAUUUAGGAAUUUUCUUUAGAAUUUUGUGAUAAUAAGGUAAUUUAAAUUGUAGAAAAUGAUUGUGUUUGGUUAUUAAAAAUUAUUGGGAUUAUUGUGAAUAAAUAAAAUUAUGGUAGAAAUUAUGUUUGAUUAAUAUUGGGAUUAUUGAGAAUUUAUUUGGAUGUUUUUGAUAAUUUAAUUGUGGAAAAUGAUUGUGUUUGGUUAUUAAAAAUUAUUGGGAUUAUUAAGAAUAAAUAAAAUUAUGGUAGAAAUUAUGUUUGAUUGAUAUUGGGAUUAUUGAGAAUCUAUUAAGAUAUUUUUGAUAAUUUAAUUGUGGUUAAAUGAUUGUGUUUGAUUAUUAAAAUUAAUGGGAUUGUUUAGAAUAAAUAAAAUUGUAGUAUAUAUUAUGUUUUAUUGAUAUUUGGAUUAGUGGGAAUUUUCUAUGACAUUUGUGGAGGACGAUAUGUAAUUUCAUUACAUUUCAUAUGCAUCAUGGUUGUGUGAAGGAAAAUAAAAAUUUGUUGUAAGGUUGCAUGAAAUGGAAAAGAAAGAAAAAUAAAAUAAUGAUGAAAAGUAAAAGCCCAUGAGAGGCAAAUUAAGAAAGGAGUAAGAUCCUUAAGGUAAAAGACCAAAAAAUUUACCCCAAGAAGACUUCGAAUGUGGAGUGUAUUUGAGUACAAACACGUAUCUUUCGGUGAAAGCCGGAGAAUGACAGUACAUUGUAUGAUUGUGUCACAUUCCCACAUGCAUUUUAUUUAAUUGUUGAAGUGUUACAAUUAGAGUGAAUGAAACGUUUGGGUUGUUGACUUUAUGGUUGAAUAUUUAUUUUGUAUAUCUUGAACCUUAGUAAUAUAAAUUAACCAUCUUGGGUGUAAGACACCCUACUGAGCAAUGUGAAAAUAUUUACCCAUUCUUUCUUAAAACUUUUAGAUGUAAAUAUAACCCCUGAGGAUCAACAGAUAGAGCAGGGAGGGCUUCAGGAUGCCCCAGGAGAUUUUGGAGUAGCCUAGUGAUUGUAGUGUAGUUGUUAUGUUGGUUUAUUUUGGAAAUUGUAUUAGCAAAUUUUGAAACUAUAUAUUUGUACUGAGACUUUAUUUUGAUUAAUUGAUUAAUUGUUCAUAUUGUGAACUUUCAUUUUUGACUUGAAUUGGAGAUCUUAUUGUUAUUGAACUUUCUUGUUGCUCUUGAGUAGUGAUUGGUAUAUUGAUAAAUUGAAAAAUUAGUUGGAGGGAGCUUUAGUGUGAUUUAAGUUUAAAAAAAUAAAAUAAAAUUCAGAACAUUUUGGUUGACUGCUAACUUGGAUUAAGAGGAACCCUUAGGGUUAAACCUUUGACCUGGGGUCAUGGGCCAAAUUUUAGGUCGCCUGGAAUUUGGGUCGUGACACAAUUAUUGACCAAUCUUUCUUGGAGCUCUUUGGCAUUGAGGAUUAAGGCCAAGUUUUCAUCAUAAGGGUUGCACGACUAAAGAAAAUGCAAUUUGGCUACUACUACGAAUUAUAUAUUGCACAUAUUUAAUGAUUAUGAAUGGUUUGGGGAAGUUUAAGCCUCAAUGUUAUCAGAGACUAUCCAUGCUUAAAGUAAUCGGCUAAGAGCACCAACUAGAAUUAGGUGAUUCAUCAACCAAUUACUCAAUUCAAAGUGAAUCUAUCAUAUAUUUCAAGUGUCAUGGUACGAGUUGUUGGAAUAUCUGAAAAAUUAUAUUCCAAGCCUUGGAUUGGUAGUGCACGUGCAUCCGUAUUCCUAGGGAUGCUAGAUCUAAGACAAUAUUAGAAGCAUUUAAUACAUGAAUGCUUAGAUCUAGGGCUCAAAAAUUUUACUUUUGAUUUAAAUGUUUUCUGAUCAAAUCUUGUUGGUAAAGUGGAUCUCGAAGACUUCCCAAUCUUCUGUUUGAUGACUUUUUUUUAGACCUUAGCAUUAAAGAAGAGCAAACUUUUCUUUUCUUAGGGCUGUAGAUUAGGGCCUUCUUUCUUAAAGAUAAUGAAUAAAAAUGUUUAACCUCAAUAUAAGGGGUUUAUAUAAACUUUCUUGUGGAGAUAAGUGACUUGAAUUUAUGGUAGACUUGGGUCGCUUAAGUAGUCCACUGAAUUUUAAUUAAUUAAUUAGCCUUAUUAUUGAUUUACCAAUAUUUUGCCAUUUUUUUUAGUUUUUUUGGAGCCACAUCAGCUCCUCCGUGCCCAACCUUUUUCCCCAUAGAAGAAGGAUUUAAUGCAUAAUAAUGGGCUUGAAGCAACACAAACUAGCAAGCAUAACCAAAGGAUGUGUUUUAGAAUUUACCAUUUUCUUCCUAAAAGUUUCCAAUAACAAUUGAAGGUGCUAUCCAAUGUUGAAGACGUUUGAUAUGAUAAUGGUAUGGAUAUAUCGACUAUUUGAUCUUUACAUCCAAUGACUAAUUUUUCGCCCAUUUGCUGAUAGUUUUGUAAUUCACUUCUCUAAUUUUUUCGGAACCACAUCAGCCCCUCCAUGCCCAAGCUCUUUCACAAAGGAAAAAAUUUAAUGUACAAGAAUUGCCUUCAAGUAAAGCAAACUAGCCAACUUGGUCCAAUUCUUACCAAAUUUUCCAUUAGAAGCAAAUGUUUUAAAUUUUACCAUUUUCUUCCUUUAGGUUUUUAGAAAAACAAACUAAAGGGUACCAUAAAAAACACUUUUUCACUAUUAGCAAUAAUAAUAAUAAUUAAUAAUAACCCGUUUGGUAGUAACUAUAUGAAGUGUUUUUAAUAUUUUUAAUACUUAAAAUAUUUUAUUAUUUAAGUAUUAGAAAAUACUAGAAACGUUUUUUAAAAUUACUCUCAAAUGCACUUUUAAAAUAUGUUUGGGAGUGAUUCUAUGAAGUGUUUAUAUAAUUUUUAAUGUUUGAAAAUUUUUAUUUUUCAAGUAUUAAAAAUAUUAGAAACAUUUUUUAAAGUUACUAUCUAACGCACUCUACAUAUAAUACCAUAAAAAUAAUAGUGCAAAACCUAGAUCUCCUUUCAUCCUCUCUCUUUUGUAUUUUUUACUUCUUACUCUACCUUUUUCUUUUUCUCCCUUCUUUUCAUUUUUCUUCUUUGUUGUUUAACCGAUCUCUAAAGCAGGCUUUAUCACUAGGGAGAGCUUUAUCUUUUUGGAACAGGAGGAGAAAUCUUAUCUCUUCAUAUAGUCCUUAGUCAUGAAGUGCACAGUACAAAUAAUAUGGGUGCUUUCUAAUCUUUUUAAUCUUUUUCCUUUCAUCCUUUUUCCUUUAACUUUUUCUCUCUUCUUUCUUUUUUAAUUCUUUGCUCUUCAACCAAUCUGGCAAGGAAGCUUAGCCACUAAGGAGAGAUUUACCUUUCUAAAUUUUAAUAGUGUAUCUGGGUGGACGCAAGGAGAAUUCAUAUUAAUUAUAGAGCUCUCUCUCCUUUAGUCUUUAGUGAAGUCAGAAGUAUGUAGAAUAUUUGUUCUCUAUAAAUUAGGAAGAAAAGUCUCACAGAUUUCAUCACUUUUACUCUCUCUCUUUCUCUCUCUCUCUCUCCUUCUCUCUCUCUCUCUCUCAAUUCUCAAACCAGUUUCAUAUAUACUGAGAGAUCUCACCACUAUUUUUCCUGCAUCAGUUUCUUAUCAGCUUCAGGUAAAUCCAUUUUUGUUCACUUCUUUCUUAAAUGUUGAAUUUUAGUUGAUAUUUAAUUUUUUAGUGUUGAGUUAGCUGCAGAGGAGGUUGAGGCAUCAAUGCAACAAUCUCAUCAUCUUUAAAGAUGGUAAAACAGAAAUAAAAUUUUUGAAGUAAAACAAUCUCUGAAAAAAAAAUAUUAAGUAAAUAAUGAAAAUUGAUUAAAAACAACAAGAAAAUGCCAUGCAGAAUUGGGUUUGAUGAUCCAUUUAUGCUUGGGUUGGAGAGGAGUGGUGACUUUUCUACUUUUAUUUUUUUGAAAUAUAAUAACCACUAGCAUGUUCUCUGUCUGUGGUUUAUUCAUGGUUGCAUCAAAUUAAAUCAAUCACCUUGUCUAAUCUUGUGACUGUGAAUGGUAGCUCCCAUGGCUGCAACCGGUGUGGCAGUGCAUUUAUAUUGGAAUGGAACAGCGAAGACCGAGAAAUACGAUGUUGUUUAUGAAGGUGAUGCCUAUUAAGCUCAACUAUGGAACUACGUAUGCUGGAUUGUUGGAUAAAAUCUACGCAACUACGGGCAUUAAGAGGAAGGAUUUUGAGUUGAACAUCAUAUGCAGAUAUCCUAUAUCUUCAAGGGAAUAUAAGCCCAUCCCAAUAAAGAAUGACGAGGCCGUAGAACUUAUGUUGGAAGUUCCAUGCAGAUCAUCUAGAGUCUACUGUGUAGAGAUAUAUUUGGAGAAAGAAGCAAGGCAAUGUGUGAAAAUCACGUUUCCGUGUUGAUCUCUGGACUGAUCUGCUCUCGACAUUGUAAUUUUAUUGUGUUGAAUUGGCUUCUAUAUCAAAUCAGUGAGUGUUAAGGGCUUGAAUUAAGUUUGGUAUGGCAUGAUAAUAUGUGAUCUAGUUUGCAUAAUUCUAAGGAAAAUGCAUAAUUCUAAAAUUUAUUUUUAUUUUUUUCUCUAUCUUGUAUAUGAAUAACCAAAUUCUAGAAAAAUUUUAUGAUUUUUGUUUAUUUUUUCUUUCUUUCUAUAAUUUUUAUUUUUUAUUUUUGUUCCCUCAUACCAUCUAGGAAUCAAAUGUAGUCUUUACAUGUCCACAGUUUAAUUAAGGAUUUAAAAAUAUAUAGAAUUUACAGUAGUGAAAAAAUUAAAAACCAUCCCGUGAAUGUUUAUCAUGCACCUCAUAUAUACAUAUCAUAUCCCAUAAUUACAUGUAAUCACAUUCACUAAUAAUAAUGUGUAAUCUAAUGCAUUAAAAAUAUUUAAACAUAAAUGUCAUAUAUGGAAAAUAUAUGUAAAUAAGUUCAAAAUUUUAUUAUUAAUUAAUUCCAUAAAGGUGUGGGGUAGAAUCCUUAGUUUAUCCUCUAAUUGAUCAAUAUACAAAAUAAAAUAACAUGACUUAGAAAAUUCACAUUAUCAUGUCUAAGUUUCUGAAAAUUUUGAAAAGAAUAGCUUAUGAACUAGCCAUUAUUAGUGCAUUCAUUCAUGAGGAUGAUCUAAAUAUUCAAGCACUUUGUGGGCUAGGCCCUAACUUCAAAGAUAUCUUCAUGCAUCCAUACACAAGGAUGAUCACCUAAGUGUAUCAUCUUGAGUGAUCCUAAAGAUAUGUGAUCAUGAAAUCUAAAGCCAUAAUAAUUUCUUAAGUGAAAUUUGACAUAUGCUCUUAUGAGUUAGAUCGAGUAUAUCGAUUGAUAACAUAGUAGGGGGAUUUGUAACUCAAGGAUUGAAAAGAUAAUCUUAAAAAGUUGAUAACAUAUAUUUCUUUAAAUUACACAUCAGUUUGUAGAGUUUGCAACGGUGGAUAGUAAAUCAUAAACUUAAGUUAUAUCUCAUUGUAAUUUCAUAGGAUAUUGGAAUGUAGUUGACUUUUUGUAGUAAGAUGUUGAAUCAACCUUAAAAUUGGAUUACGAGGGAACUGGUAUUUUUCUUGGUCCUAUUGGUUCCCAUUCAAGCUCUUAAUUCAUGGUGACACAAUUUUGAGGGUAUUUUUAAGUUUCUAAUUCAUAUGUAUGCAUAAGAGUAUUUUAAUAAAAAUAAAAAAUUGCACUUGAUCAUAUGAACGAUCCUUUUGGACUGUACUAAUUGAUUAGAGCCCAAUAGAGUUUGUUAAUUAAUUAGGACCUAAGUUGGCUAAAUAAGUAAGUUAAGUCCAAGCUAGACUCAAGUUACUUAAGCUCACAAGGAAGCCUACAUAAACCUCUUAAAGCUCCACUUUUGCACUCGUCUUUUAGAAUUCAAAGAUAAACCCCCAACCUCCCCCUCUAGAGAGAAGAUUUCCCUUUUCUGGUGUCUAGAUCAAUGAGAGUGAUAGGGCAAAAGGUUGCUUAGUUGGUGAGGCUUGCGAUUCACUCUACUUAACUUCAUCGAAUUGGAAUUGAUUUGGGAAUACCUAAAUCAUGUGUAUGAUCUCUCUUUUGUUUAGAUCUAUAUUAUUUAUGGUUUCAUUGCCAUGUUUUUUUUUUUGCUCCAAUUAGAUCUAGAGAACCCUAAGACUAGUAACAUGCAACUUGAAUGAUCUGGGGUUUGAAAUGGAGAGAUUCAAGGAUUCCCAAUAAUAAAGGUAUAAUUUUCUGCUUCUGUGUUGGAGCAUGAAACAAUGGGUUGUUUCUUGGAUUAUCAUGAUAUGUAGUUGCAACUAAAAGAUAUACAAUAUCCCAUUGCACUUAUUCUUGUGGUUAGACAACUAGCCUAGUCUACAUCGCAAAAACUAGGUAAUGUUAGUGCACUUUGAGCAGGAAAUUGUAAGCUAAAAGUUAAUGAGCCUUUGAGAUAAAUUAGCCACCAUCCCAUCACGUGCUAGUCAAGGAGGUAUCCCAUGUCCACAGUCUGCACCACCGUCUCUCGUACUGAUUCAUCUCCACCCAUCUUCAUCCAUGGCUAAGCAUUCUUCCAAAUAUAUAGUACCGGCCUAUUAUUGAUUUGGGUUGAAUUAUAUUAAUAUUGGGCCUCAAUAUUGUUUUUGAGUUUUGAAAAUAUUGGACUUGGGUUUAGUCUUGCACAAUUAUCUACUUGGUUUUAUUUGGAACUUUAGGUUAUGAUACUCAGCUAUAAUUUUUGGCUUUCUUGCUUCGGCCUAGUAUUUUGAGAAGUCGAGUUUGGGCAUGUUUUCUUAGACUGUAUUGACUUCUAUUGGGCUAUACCUUGUUUUAUUUUGCAUGGGUGUUGUUCAUUGGUUGAGGUCGUUAUUGGAGGGAGCUAUGAUGUGCACCACGUGUAGGGCUAGAUUUCAUGGAAGAAAGGAAUGUUCGGGAAGCUGUAGUUAAGGGCAUGGAACCCUAGGCAGCUAAGGGGAGGGGAGGACAACUCACCUACUCUAGGAUUUUCGCUAAGACUUUUACAAGGUGCCCUUUUUUUUUUUUUUUUUUUUCAGAAAAUGAUUUUGAAGAAAAAGGAUCCAAAAACUGGUUUUAAUAAACACUAGAAAAUUAUUUUUCAUUAAGAACAAUCCAGGACAUUAUUUUUUGAAUAAAAACAGUACAAUUUUUUUAUUAAAUAAAAAUAUUUUAGAAAAUAUUUUUAUUAAUAAAAAAUAUUCCAUAUAUAUAUUCUUUUAAAAGGUUCAAAAAUCAUUUUUCAAAUAAAUGUAAAGUUCCAAAAAAAUCAUCUUAGAAAGUUCUAAAAAAAUAUGUUUUUUUUUAAGUUAAAAAAUUGUUUUUUUUUAAAGUUAAAAAAAUUGAUUUUAAUAAAAUUUCAUAAAAAUCCAAAAAUUUGUUUUUAAUAAACUGUCCAGAAAUUUUUUUUAUAUAUAUAAUAAAAAUGUCCAAAUUUUUUUUAUCUAAUAAAAAAAUAAUUUUGGUAAAUAAAAAAAAAAUUUGAAGUUUCUUUUGUAAAUAAUUUUGAAAUGUCUUUGCCCCUAUUAAAAAUCUUUUUUACUAAUAAAAUUGAGUUGAGCAUAUUUUUUGUAUAAAAUUUGUAAAAAAAUCAUCUUCCCGAUAAAAUUGAAUUGAAAUCUUCUUUUAUAAUUAAGGGAAAAUCAUCAAACCAUACACCAAUUACAAAAAAUAUGAGAAUUUGGAACUUCACUUUUUUCUUUUUAAUUUUGGUGUAAAAUGGGAAAAAAUAUUGUCUAUUCAUGCACUCCAAUAGUGCUUUCAAAUUUAUUCCACAAUUACCCUCAAAAGUAAAGGACAAAGUACACACCAAUUUAAUACCACAUGUUAACAAGUACAUGUAUCAUUUAUUUUUUUAUUAUUUUUCUCAAAUCAAUAAAUAUCCCUUGCCACUUGUCACGUUUCCACUUUUUACUUUUUUCUUCUUUUUUUCCUAUUCUACCAUCAUAAUCCAUUGUCACCUAUUAUAAGUUUUAUUAUUAUUUUUCUUUUCUUUUUUCCUUUAUAUUCUUUUUAACAUGCUCGUGCAUUUUCUCAUAAAACUUCUUUAAUUUUAAUUUAUUUUUACUCUCUAAGUUAUCUAUAUUUAUUGAUUUUAAUUAUUUUUUUAACAUAUUAAACUUAAAAUGAUAAUAUAUAAUAAAUAAUUAAUAUAACAAAUUAAAUAAAAACAAAAUAUAUAAUGGACAAAAAUGAAAAUAUUAUCCCACAAAUAAUAAUGAUUUUAAAUAUUAAUUAUAAUAAUACAUUUUAUAAAUUAAGGUUUAAAUUUAAAAAUUCCAUUUUAUUAUUUAGAACUUUAUGAUAUAAGACUUUUUAUAUUAAUACUAAACAAAAGAUUUAUUUAUUUCGUAAAUUCUAUCACAUGUAAAAGUAAAAAUAUCAUUGCAAUACUAUUUUAUUAUUUACAUUAUUUUUCUUUUAAUUUUUAUUUUAAAUUUAUCAUAUAAAAAUCACAAUAAGUGAUGAUGCUUUUAUCAUUUUUCUUAUGAUUUUAAAUUGAUUGUGGAUCUAACUUUUUUUGGGUUAAAAUCUUUAAUUUUUAAUUAAAAUAAAAUAUAAAAGAAAAUCUAUUUUUCAUAAAAAAAUUGUAUUUAACCUUUUAUAUUAAUCUCAUAAAAAAUAGGUACAUCCUUAAAAAAAAAAAAGGUAAAUUAAUGCUUAGGAGAACCGGAAACACUAUCAUACUUAUCAUGAUGUAUAUAUUCCUUUGGGACCCUCGAUAAGUAAUUGGAGGUAUUUGCCCACCCCAAAAAGAACUUUGGGAUCCUAGGUAUAUCCAUUCUUAGAAGAACCAAGACCUCUAUUUUCAUUUUCAUGGUUCAUAUAUUCUUUUGGGGACCCUUGAAAAAGAAUUAGAGGUUAUUCCCCACCCUAAAACGGACAUUGGAACCCAAGGUACAUCUUAAAAACAAUUUGGUAUAUCAUUUAUAAAAUUUGGUACAUAUUUUAUAAAAUUUGGCACAUCCUUAAAACAAUUUUGUACAUCCAAUCCAUGAGCUACCAAGACCUCUAUAUUAUUAACCGUGGUUCGUUUUAUUUCUUUAGGGAUCUUUAGGAAGUAAUUAGAGGUCGUUCCCUACUCCAAAACGAACUUUGGAACUCUAGGUACAUCCUUAAGUAAAUUUGGUGCAUCGUUAAGAAAUUUUGGUAUAUCAAAUCCUCGGGCUAUCGAGACCCUUAUCUAUCUUCCCAUGGUCCAUAUUAUCCGUUGAGGACCAUUAGGCAGUGAUUGAAGGUCAUUCCCCACAUCGGAACGAACUUUGGCACUUUUGGUACAUCCUUUAAAAAAUUUGGUUCAUCCUUAAAAAUAUUUGGUACAUACUUGAGCUAUUGAAACCUCUAUCUUAUUACCCAUGGUCCGUUUAUUCCUUUAGGGAUCUUUGGGAAGUGAUUGGAGAUCGUUCCUUACUCCGAAAUGGACUUUGGAACCCUAGGUACAUAAUUGAGAAAAUUUGAUACAUCCAAUCCUUGAGCUAACGGAACACUUAUCUCCAUUUCCAUAGUCCAUUUUUUCCUUUGGAGACCCUCAAGAAGUUAUUGAAGGUCGUUUCCCACCUCAUAACAGACUUUGGCAACAUUGGUAUAUCAUUUACAAAAUUUGGUACAUCAUUUAUAAAAUUUGGUACAUCCUUCACAAAAUUUGGUACAUUAUGAAGGAUAAACCAAAUUUUGGGCAUGAUGUACCAAGGGUUCCAAAGUGCAUUCCGAGGUGGGGAUCGACUCUCAAUCACUUUCUUAUGGGUUUCUAAAUGAAAUUAUGGACAAUCUAUGUUCAGAUAGGGUUCUCAAAAGCGAUGGGAUCGAAUGUACCAAAUUUAAUGAAGGAUGUACCAAGCAUUCCAAGGUAGGGAUCAACCCCCAAUCACAUCCUUAUGGGUUCCAAAAUGAAAUCAUGGACCAUUCAUGUUCAGAUGGGGGUCCCGAAAACAAUAGGAUCGGAUAUACCAAAUUUAAUAAAGAAUGUAUCAAAUUUUGUGCAGGAUGUACCAACGGUUCCAAAGUACGUUCCGAGGUGGGGAUCGGCCCCCAAUCACUUCCUUAUGGGUUCCAAAAUGAAAUCAUGGACCAUCCAUGUUCAGAUGGGGGAGCCAGAAGCAAUAGGAUCGGAUGUACCAAAUUUUGUGAAGAAUGUAUCAAGGGUUCCAAAGUGCGUUUUGAGGUGGGGAUCAACCCCCAAUCACUUUCUUAUGGGUUUCUAAAUGAAAUUAUGGAUCAUCCAUGUUUAAAUGGGGGUCUCGGAAGCGAUAGGAUCAAAUGUACCAAAUUUUGUGAAUGAUGUACCAAGGGUUCCAAAGUGCGUUUCGAGGUGGGGAUCGACCCCCAAAUAAUUUCUUGUGGGUUCUAAAAUGAAAUUAUGUACGAUCCAUGUCCGAAUGGGGAUCCCGUAAACGAUAGGAUCGGAUGUACCAAAUUUAAUAAAGGAUGUAUCAAAUUUAAUGAAGGAUGUACCAAAUUUUGUGAAGAAUGUACGAAGGGUUCCAAAUUGCAUUCCGAGGUGGGGAUCGACCCCCAAUCACUUUCUUAUGGGUUUUCAAAUGAAAUUAUGGACCAUCGAUGUUCAGAUGGGGGUACCGAAAGUGACAGGAUCAGAUGUACCAAAUUUAAUGAAGGAUAUACCAAAUUUUGUGAAAGAUGUACCAAAUUUUGUGAAUGAUGUACCAAGGGUUCCAAAGUGUGUUCCGAGGUGGGGAUCGGCCCCAAAUAACUCUCUUAUGGGUUUCUAAAUGAAAUUAUGGACCAUCCAUGUUCAGAUGGGGGUCCCGGAAGCGAUAGGAUCGAAUGUACCAAAUUUUGUGAAGGAUGUACCAAGGGUUCGAAAAUGCGUUCCGAGGUGGGGAUCGACCCCCAAACACUUCCUUAUUGGUUCCAAAAUGAAAUUAUGAACUAUCCUUAUUCAGAUGGGGGUCCCAGAAGCGAUAGGAUCGGAUGUACCAAAUUUAAUGAAGGAUAUACCAAAUUUUGUGAAGAAUGUACCAAGGGUUCCAAAGUGCGUUUCGAGGUGGGGAUUGACCCCCAAUAGCUUUCUUAUGGGUUUUUAAAUGAAAUUAUGGACCAUCCAUGUUCACAUGGGGGUCCCGAAAGCGAUAGGAUCGCAUGUACUAAAUUUUGUGAAUGAUGUACCAAGGGUUCUAAAGUGCGUUUUGAGGUGGGGAUCGACCCCCAAACACUUCCUUAUGGGUUCCAAAAUGAAAUUAUGUACCAUCCAUGUUCAACUGGGGUCCCAGAAGCGAUAGGAUCAGAUGUACCAAAUUUAAUGAAGGAUGUACCAAAUUUAAUGAAUGAUGUACGAAAUUUUGUGAAGGAUGUACGAAGGGUUCCAAAUUGCGUUCCGAGGUGGGGAUCGACCCCCAAUCACUUUCUUAUGGGUUUCUAAAUGAAAUUAUGCACCAUUGAUGUUCAGAUGGGGGUUUCGAAAGCGACAGGAUUAGAUGUACCAAAUUUAAUGAAGGAUGUACCAAAUUUUGUGAAAGAUGUACCAAAUUUUGUGAAUGAUGUACCAAGGGUUCCAAAUUGUGUUAUGAGGUGGGAAUCGACCCCAAAUAACUUUCUUAUGGGUUUCUAAAUGAAAUUAUGGACCAUCCAUAUUCAGAUAGGGGUCCCAGAAGCGAUAGGAUCGAAUGUACCAAAUUUUGUGAAGGAUGUACCAAGAGUUCAAAAAUGCGUUCCGAGGUGGGGAUCGGCCCCCAAACACUUCUUUAUUGGUUCCAAAAUGAAAUUAUGGACUAUCCAUAUUCAAAUGGGGGUCUCAGAAGCGAUAGGAUCGAAUGUACCAAAUUUAAUGAAGGAUGUACCAAAUUUAAUUAAGGAUGUACCAAAUUUUGUGAAGGAUGUACCAAGGGUUCCAAAGUGCAUUUCGAGGUAGGGAUCAACCCCCAAUAGCUUUCUCAUGGGUUGCUAAAUGAAAUUAUGGACCAUCCAUAUUCAGAUGGUGGUCCCAGAAGCGAUAGGAUCGGAUGUACCAAAUUUGUGAAUGAUGUACCAAGGGUUCCAAAAUGCGUUCCGAAGUGGGGAUCGGCCCCCAAUCACUUUCUUAUGGGUUUCUAAAUGAAAUUAUGGACCAUCGAUGUUCAAAUGGGGGUCCUGGAAGCGACAGGAUCGGAUGUACCAAAUUUUGUGAAUGAUGUACCGAAGGUUCCAAAGUGCGUUAUGAGGUGAGGAUCGACCUCCAAUCACUUUUUUAUGGGUUUUUAAAUGAAAUUAUGGACAAUCCUUGUUGAGAUGGGGGUCCCAGAAGCAAUAGGAUCAGAUGUACCAAAUUUAAUGAAGAUUGUAUCAAAUUUAAUUAAUGAUGUACCAAAUUUUGUAAAGGAUGUACCAAAGGGGCCAAUGUCCGUUCCGAAGUAGGGAACGAUCUCUAAUCACUUUCUAAGGUUGUCCAAAGAAAUAAAUGAAACAUAAGAAGGAUGUUAGGUGUGUUGUUAGCUCGAGGAUUGGAUGUAUCAAAUUUUCUUAAGAAUGUAUCUAGGGUUUCAAAGUCUAUUUCAGAGUAGGAAACAACCUCCAAUCACUUUCCAAAGAUCCUUUAAGGAAUUAAUGGACCAUGGGUAAUAAGAUAGGGGUCCUGGUAGCUCAAGGAUUAGAUGUACCAAUUUUUUGGUAUAGAGAUUCAAUUGGUACCAUUUUAUAAUACAUAUUGAAAUUUAUGUGAAUGAAACAAAAUAUACUAGCUAGUUUCCUGUAAUGAGGUAAAUAAAAAAAGUAGUUAAAAAUAAAAAAAAUAUAAAUAAAAUAAUAAUAUAGAUUUAAAAUAAAAAAAUUUAAAAAUGAACAAUUUUUUUUAAAUGAUAAAUAUUUUAAAAAAAAAAUCUAUGAUUUUAAAUCAACAAGCAAUCAUUUCCAUUGCUUAUUUCAUAUGAAUGUCAAGGGCCAACCUUUCAAGCUAUCAACAUGCCUCCAUUUGCCUUACUACCCAACCCACACUUCAAAUCUAGUCAUCCUAAAGGCAUGCCUCUGACAAAGAGUCAUGCCUAUAUUUUUUCCUACUGCACAUAACUUAACAAAAAUAAGUUUUUCACCCACAUUCAUGCAUCUUCCAUGAAGCUUGUGCUCUUGACUAGUGCACAUAGCCUACCGAUAUAAUGGUUUCAGCAAUAGGCAUGCCUCUAAAAUCAAGGGUGUGCCCCUAGUUUGCAUACUGCAUAUAGUACACCAAAAUAAUGUUAUCAUGCCCAUGGGCAUGCCAAUGCAACGAAGGGUGCACCCCUACUUUACUUUCUGCAUGUGGCAUAGUAAUAUAAUGUCAUUUACAGGCAUGCCUUUCAAAUGGAAGGUGCGCCCCUAGAUUGUCUUCUACACAUAACAUACCAAACUAAUGUUAUUGUACAAAGAAAAUUCCAUUGAAUCUAAGGGUACAAUGUAAAUGUUCGAAUGCCUUCCGAAGGUGUUAAUGGGCCAACCUCCCUUUUACUGACUUCUCACAUAAUAUGAAUCAAUCCCCACCUUAACAAUUUGGCACAUCCUUCACAAAAUUUGGUACACCCGAUCCUAUCGCUUCCGGGACCCCCAUUCGAACAUGGAUAGUACAAAAUUUCAUUUUGGAACCCAUAAGGAAGUGUUUGGGGGCCGAUCCUCACCUCAAAACACACUUUGGAACCCUUGGUACAUCAUUUACAAAAUUUGGUACAUCCUUCACAAAAUUUGGUAACAUCCUUCAUUAAAUUUGGUACAUCCGAUCCUAUCGCUUCCGGGAUCCCCAUCUGAACAUGAAUGGUCCACAAUUUCAUUUAGAAACCCAUAAGAAAGUGAUUUGGGGCCGAUCCCCACCUCGAAACACACUUUGGAACCCUUGGUACAUCAUUCACAAAAUUUGGUACAUCCUUCAUUAAAUUUGGUACAUCCUAUCCUGUCACUUCCAAAACCUCCAUCUGAACAUCGAUGGUCCAUAAUUUCAUUUAGAAACCCAUAAGAAAGUGAUUGAGGGCCGAUCCCCACCUCGGAACGCAAUUUGGAACCCUUGGUACAUCCUUCACAAAAUUUGGUACAUCCUUCAUUAAAUUUGGUACAUCCUUUAUUAAAUUUGGUACAUCCCAUCCUAUCACUUUCGGGACCCCCAUUCNAACAUGGAUGGUACAUAAUUUCAUUUUGGAACCCCUAACGAAAUAUUUGGGGGUCCAUCCCUACCUCGAAACAGCACUUUGGAACCCUUGGUANNNNNNNNNNNNNNNNNNNNNNNNNNNNNNNNNNNNNNNNNNNNNNNNNNNNNNNNNNNNNNNNNNNNNNNNNNNNNNNNNNNNNNNNNNNNNNNNNNNNUGGAACCUUUGGGACAUCCUUCACAAAAUUUGGGUACAUCCUUCAUUAAAUUUGGUACCAUCCUUUAUUAAAUUUGGUACAUCCGAUCCUAUCACUUUCAGGACCCCCAUUUGAACUAUGGAUGGUACAUAAUUUCAUUUUGGAACCCAUAAGGAAGUAUUUGGGGGUCGAUCCCUACCUCGAAACGCACUUUGGAACCCUUGGUACAUCAUUCACAAAAUUUGGUACAUCCGAUCCUAUCGCUUCUGGGACCACUAUCUGAACAUGGAUGGUUCAUAAUUUCAUUUAGAAACCCAUGAGAAAGCUAUUGGGGGUCGAUCCCCACCUUGACGCACACUUUAGAACCCUUGAUACAUUCUUCACAAAAUUUGGUAUAUCCUUCACAAAAUUUGGUACAUCCUUCAUUAAAUUUGGUACAUUCAAUCCUAUUGCUUCCGGGAUCCCCAUUUGAACAUGAAUGGUCCAUAAUUUCAUUUAGAAACCCAUAAGAAAGUGAUUUGGGGUCGAUCCCCAUCUCGGAACACACUUUGGAACCCUUGGUAUAUCAUUCACAAAAUUUGGUACAUCCUUCACAAAAUUUGGUACAUCCUUCAUUAAAUUUGGUACAUCUGAUCCUGUUACUUCCAGAACCCCCAUCUGAACAUUGAUGGUCCAUAAUUUCAUUUAGAAACCCAUAAGAAAGUGAUUGAGGGUCAAUCCCCACCUCGGAACGCAAUUUGGAACCCUUCGUACAUCCUUCACAAAAUUUGGUACAUCCUUCAUUAAAUUUGGUACAUCCAAUCCUAUCACUUUCGGGACCCCCAUUCGAACAUGGAUGGUCCAUAAUUUCAUUUUGGAACCCAUAAGGAAGUAUUUGGGGGUCCAUCCCUACCUCAAAACGCACUUUGGAACCCUUGGUACCUCAUUCACAAAAUUUGGUACAUCCGAUCUUAUUGCUUCUAGGACCACCAUCUGAAUAUGGAUGGUCCAUAAUUUCAUUUAGAAACCCAUGAGAAAGCUAUUGGGGGUCGAUCCCCACCUCGAAACACACUUUGGAACCCUUGGUACAUCCUUCACAAAAUUUGGUACAUCCUUAAUUAAAUUUGGUACAUUCGAUCAUAUCGCUUCCGGGAUCCCUAUCUGAAUAUGAAUGGUCCAUAAUUUCAUUUAGAAACCCAUAAGAAAGUGAUUGGGGGUCGAUCCCCACCUUGGAACGCAAUUUGGAAGCCUUCGUACAUCCUUCACAAAAUUUGGUACAUCCUUCAUUAAAUUUGGUACAUCCUUUAUUAAAUUUGGUACAUCCGAUUCUAUCACUUCCGGGACCCCCAUUCGAACAUGGAUGGUCCAUAAUUUCAUUUUGGAACCCAUAAGGAAGUAUUUGGGGGUCCAUCCCUACCUCGAAACGCACUUUGGAACUCUUGGUACCUCAUUCACAAAAUUUGGUACAUCUGAUCCUAUCGCUUCUGGGACCACCAUCUGAAUAUGGAUGGUCCAUAAUUUCAUUUAGAAACCCAUGAGAAAGCUACUGGGGGUCGAUCCCCACCUCGAAACACACUUUGGAACCCUUGGUACAUCCUUCACAAAAUUUGGUACAUCCUUAAUUAAAUUUGGUACAUUCGAUCCUAUCGCUUUCGGGAUCCCUAUCUGAAUAUGAAUGGUCCAUAAUUUCAUUUAGAAACCCAUAAGAAAGUGAUUGGGGGCCGAUCCCCACCUCGGAACGCAAUUUGGAAGCCUUCGUACAUCCUUCACAAAAUUUGGUACAUCCUUAAUUAAAUUUGGUACAUCCUUCAUUAAAUUUGGUACAUCCUUUAUUAAAUUUGGUACAUCCGAUCCUAUCGCUUUUGGGACCACCAUCUGAACAUGGAUGGUCCAUAAUUUCAUUUAGAAACCCAUGAGAAAGCUAUUGGGGGUCGAUCCCCACCUCGAAACGCACUUUGAAACCCUUGGUACAUCCUUCAUAAAAUUUGGUACAUCCUUAAUUAAAUUUGGUACAUCCUUAAUUAAAUUUGGUACAUCCUUCAUUAAAUUUGGUACAUCUGAUCCUAUCACUUCUGGGACCCCCAUCUGAAUAUGGAUAGUCCAUAAUUUCAUUUUGGAACCAAUAAGGAAGUGUUUGGGGGCCGAUCCCCACCUCGGAACGCAUUUUCGAACCCUUGGUACAUCCUUCACAAAAUUUGGUACAUCCGAUCCUAUCGCUUCCGAGACCCCCAUCUGAACAUGGAUGGUCCAUAAUUUCAUUUAGAAACCCAUAAGAAAGUGAUUGGGGGUUGAUCCCUACCUCAAAACGCACUUUGGAACCCUUGGUAUAUCCUUCACAAAAUUUGGUACAUUCGAUCCUAUUGCUUCUGGCUUCCCCAUCUGAACAUGAAUGAUCCAUGAUUUCAUUUUGGAACCCAUAAGGACGUGAUUGGGGGUUGAUCCCCACCUCGGAACGCAUUUUGGAACCGUUGGUACAUCCUUCACAAAAUUUGAUAUUAUUAAAUUUGGUAUAUCUGAUUCUAUUGUUUUCGGGACCCCCAUCUGAACAUGAAUGGUCCAUGAUUUCAUUUUGAAACCCAUAAGGAUGUGAUUGGGGGUUGAUCCCUACCUUGGAACGCUUGGUACAUCCUUCACAAAAUUUGGUACAUCAUUCAUUAAAUUUGGUACAUCCGAUCUCAUUGCUUUCGAGAACCCCAUCUGAACAUAGAUUGCCCAUAAUUUCAUUUAGAAACCCAUAAGAAAGUGAUUGGGGGUCGAUCCCCACCUCGGAACGCACUUUGGAACCCUUGGUACAUCAUGCCCAAAAUUUGGUACAUCCUUCAUAAUGUACCAAAUUUUGUGAAGGAUGUACCAAAUUUUAUAAAUGAUGUACCAAAUUUUGUAAAGGAUAUACCAAUGUUGCCAAAGUUCGUUAUGAGGUGGAGAACGACCUUCAAUAACUUCCUGAGGGUCUCCAAAGGAAAAAAUGGACUAUGGAAAUGGAGAUAAGUGUUUCGUUAGCUCAAGGAUUGGAUGUAUCAAAUUUUCUCAAUUAUGUACCUAGGGUUCCAAAGUCUAUUUCGGAGUAGGGAACGAUCUCCAAUCACUUCCCAAAGAUCCCUAAAGGAAUAAACGGAUCAUGGGUAAUAAGAUAGAGGUUUCAAUAGCUCAAGUAUGUACCAAAUAUUUUUAAGGAUGAACCAAAUUUUUUAAAGGAUGUACCAAAAGUGCCAAAGUUCAUUCCAAUGUGGGGAAUGACCUUCAAUCACUACCUAAGGGUCCUCAAAGGAUAAUAUGGACCAUGGGAAGAUAGAUAGGGGUCUCAAUAGCCCGAGGAUUGGAUGUACCAAAAUUUCUUAACGAUGCACCAAAUUUACUUAAGGAUGUACCUAGAGUUCCAAAGUUCGUUUUGGAGUAGGGAACGACCUCUAAUUACUUCCUAAAGAUCCCUAAAGAAAUAAAACGAACCACGGGUAAUAAUAUAGAGGUCUUGGUAGCUCAUGGAUUGGAUGUACAAAAUUGUUUUAAGGAUGUGCUAAAUUUUAUGAAAUAUAUACCAAAUUUUAUAAAUGAUAUACCAAAUUGUUUUUAGGAUGUACUUUGGGUUCCAAUGUCCGUUUUAGGGUGGGGAAUAACCUCUAAUUCUUUUUCAAGAGUCCCCAAAGGAAUAUAUGAACCAUGAAAAUGAAAAUAGAGGUCUUGGUUCUUCUAAAAAUGGAUAUACCUAGGAUCCCAAAGUUCUUUUUGGGGUGGGCAAAUACCUCCAAUUACUUAUCGAGGGUCCCAAAGGAAUAUAUACACCAUGAUACGUAUGAUAGUGUUUACGGUUCUCCUAAGCAUUAAUUUACCUUUUUUUUUUUUUUUUUAAGGAUGUACUUAUUUUUUAUGAGAUUAAUAUAAAAGGUUAAAUACAUUUUUUUUUUAUGAAAAAUAGAUUUUUUUUAUAUUUUAUUUUAAUUAAAAAUUAAAGAUUUUAACCCAAAAAAAGUUAGAUCCACAAUCAAUUUAAAAUCAUAAGAAAAAUGAUAAAAGCACCAUCACUUAUUGUGAUUUUUAUAUGAUAAAUUUAAAAUGAAAAUUAAAAGAAAAAUAAUGUAAAUAAUAAAAUAGUAUUGCAAUGAUAUUUUUACUUUUACAUGUGAUAGAAUUUACAAAAUAAAUAAAUCUUUUUUUUAGUAUUAAUAUAAAAAAUCUUAUAUCAUAAAGUUCUAAAUAAUAAAAUGGAAUUUUUAAAUUUAAACUUUAAUUUAUAAAAUGUAUUAUUAUAAUUAAUAUUUAAAAUCAUUAUUAUUUGUGGGACAAUAUUUUCAUUUUUGUCCAUUAUAUAUUUUGUUUUUAUUUAAUUUGUUAUAUUAAUUAUUUAUUAUAUAUUAUCAUUUUAAGUUUAAUAUGUUAAAAAAAUAAUUAAAAUCAAUAAAUAUAGAUAAAUUAGAGAGUAAAAAUAAAUUAAAAUUAAAGAAGUUUUAUGAGAAAAUGCACGAGCGUGUUAAAAAGAAUAUAAAGGAAAAAAGAAAAGAAAAAUAAUAAUAAAACCUAUAAUAGGUGACAAUGGAUUAUGGUGGCAGAAUAGGAAAAAAAGAAGAAAAAAGUAAAAAGUGGAAACGUGACAAAUGGUAAGGGAUAUUUAUUGAUUUGAGAAAAAUAAUAAAAAAUAAAUGACACAUGUACUUGUUAAUAGGUGGUAUUAAAUAGUUGUGUACUUUGUCCUUUACUUUUGAGGGUAAUUGUGGAAUAAAUUUGAAAGCACUAUUGGAGUGCAUGAAUAGACAAUAUUUUUUUUCCAUUUUACACCAAAAUUAAAAAGAAAAAAGUGAAGUUUCAAAUUCUCAUAUUUUUUGUAAUUGGUGUAUGGUUAGAUGAUUUUCCCUAUAAUUAAACGAGUGAAAAUUCUUUGUUUGUGAAUAGAAAUUGACUUAAUACUUUUUGAAUAAAAUUAUAGAACUCUAUUUUUAAUAAAAAUAAUCAAAAUCAAUUUCUUUGUAAAUAAAAUCAAAUUAGAAUAUUUUUUGUAAAUAAAUUUGUACAUUUAAAAAAAAAAAUUUCAAAAAAUUCAUUUUUUUUUAAAAUAAAAAUAAAUUUGAUUUGGAAUGUUUCUUGAAAAUAAAUUUGUAAAUAUUUUUUUAAUUUUGUAGUGAAUCACUUCUCUUAAAUAAAAUUUGAAAUAAAAUAUAUUCUUGAAAAUAAAAAUGGUAAAAAAUCAUUUUGGUAAAAGUAAAUAAAAUAAAUAAAAAUCAUCUCCUUGUAAAUAAAAUCAAAUUUACAUUUGUCUCUCUAAAUGAAAUUGUACUUAAUAACUUCUUUUAAUAAAAACAAGAAACAGUCUUUCAAAAUAAAUUUAAAUCUAAAUAAAAUAAAAUAUUUUGAUAAAUAAAUGGAAGCUUUGUGAAUAAUCAAGUUGGUUUUUAAUAUGAAAAAAAAUCUUUCAAAAUUUCUUAAAAUUGUAUUAUGAUAUUUGAAAUAAUAAAGUCUUUAUAAUAUAUUUGUGUAAUUCACUUUUAUCAUUGUUUUGAUGUACUUUUUUUUUAUUCUUCUGUGGUAUCCAUGAUUUACAAACUAAUUGCCAUACUCCACACUUGCUUACUAGAAAGGUCUUUUUCUUAGGGCUUAGAAGGGUGUUAUGACUUAUCAUCAUAACUUCUGGAUGGGUAACCUGAUCUCUAAAUCCGUUUUUGAUUUAUAGACUUGUCUUUUUUCCAAAUAAGAAAUCACAUAAAGUUUUCUUUCUUAUUUUGUUUUCUUUUUUUAAAAAUAAAGUAAAAUAAAUGACAACUCCAAUUUUUCAAAAAUCAUUUUUUCACAAUAAAAAUUGAGUCAUGACAUUGAGUGGGAACAUAUAUGAAAAAUACAAGUCCAUAAAUGCAUAAAAAAAUGAUAUUAAUUGAUUGACAUAACUUAAUAAUUUUUUCCAUAUAAAUCUUAGGAAAAAUAAUAAUAAUUUAUUUGUCACAAAAUAAUAAAAAAAAAGAACUAAGUUUUCAAAAAUGUCUUGCACCACAUAAUUCUAUUAUUGAUGUUUUUAAUAAUUUUUGUGCAAGAGUUGUUAGAUUUCUUUAUUUUCCAUUAUCACCCAAGACACAAAAAACAUGAUAUAUAUAUAUAUAUAUAUAUAUAUAUAUAUAUAUAUAUAUAUAUAUAUAUAUAUAUGUAUGUAUGUAUGUAUAUAUAUAAAGCAUUCAAAACAUUCUUUUGAUCUUUGAUCUCUGGAUAGGGAACCAACCUGAAUCCAUUUUAGAUUUUGUUGAAGAUGUAUGGAUCUUCUAAGGUUGUGGAGGGCACCAUCUUUCUUUGAAUUCUCUCUGAUGAUGGGAGCGGGAGAGAACAAGUUCCUUUUGUUUCAAAAUGUUGUUUUCAUACAAGGAACUAACACUUGAAUUUAUACCCUCCUGCCUUAGGGACCAUACCCUUUGGCUAUUGGGCCUCACAAGUCUUAGGCCCAUCAUCUAAGGCCUGUGAUGGCGUUGGGCUCUACACAUAGGUGGCCCAUACUCUUGAUCAAAUAGAAAUCAUAUAUAUAUGGAUAGCUAAAUCCCGACAAUGUUUAAUAUAAUGUAGGUCUAUAUUUAUUCUAUCAAUCUUCCACUUGGACCACAUAUAUUACAAAACAAUGUUCAUGAUAGUACUUUAUUGAGGUCAUCUUUGCUAUCCUAUUCAAAUAUCCUUAAACAAUCCGGUCUACUAAUUAUGCUAACAUAGGAUCAAAGUGGUCUUCGUUAAUCAUAAUUAUAACUAGACUCAUCAAUGAUCACAAUAUUAACAAAAUUAGCAACAUGGAUCAAGUAUGGAUGUGUAGCAUGGAAAUUACAUAGAAUGUGAUCUCUAAUAUGUCUAUUUCCAAUUGGUCCCACUUUAUGACUAAAAAAUAGUCAAAUUCCACUUUCAACACUUGAUGCUAAACUGCUUUUGAAAGUCAUCAUUUCAAUUCAGAAUAUUCAAACACAAUAGUCUUUUAAAAUCAAGGUCUGUACAGAUAACACAACAUAAUAUCACAUCAAGAAAACAAACACAAAAUCUAAAUACAAACUCCCACUAUACUAGCACAUCAUCAAUGGGUACAACACCCAUAUGUGUGACAUGCUCAUGAUAUACUUUGGGUGGCAAACCCUUAGUGAGCGGAUCCGCAAUCAUGGAGUUUGUGCUUAUGUGUUCAAUCGAUACUUGAAGACUCUGAACUCUUUCUUUCACAACCAAGAACUUGAUGUCAAUGUGUUUAGACUUUGAUGAAUUUCGGUUGUUCUUAGAAUACAAUUCUGCGGCCUUAUUAUCACAAUUGAUUCUCAAUGGUUUCUCAAUCCCACCAACAUUUAGCAACUGAGUGAUAAAAUUCCGCAACCAUAUCCCUUGGUUUGAUGCCUUGUAGCAAGCUAUGAAUUCUGCCUCCAUGGUGGAAGAAGCAAUAAGUGUUUGUUUAACACUUUUCCAUGAAAUUGCUCCUCCAACCAACAUGAAGAUGUAGCCUGAAGUGGAUCUCCUACUGUCAAGACAUCCCGCGAAAUCAGAGUCUGAAUAUCCCACGAUCUCUAAAUGACUAGAUCUACGGUAUGUGAGCAUAUAAUCUUUAGUUCUUUGUAAAUACCGCAAAACCCGUUUUGCCUUUUUCCAGUGAUCCAUACCUAGGUUUCUCAAAUAUCUGCCUAACAUUCCAACAAUGUACGCAAUAUCCGGGCGCGUACAAACUUGUGCAUACAUGAGACUUCCUAUUGCCGAGGCAUAGGGAAACCUCUCCAUAUCCUUCUUCUCAAGUUCAUUUUUCGGACAUUGGUGCAAACUAAAUUUAUCGCCUUUUGCCACAGGCGUGUCUCCUAGUGUACAAUUGCUCAUGCCAAAUCUUCUCAACACUUUAUCAAUGUAGGCCUUUUGUGAUAGCCCAAGUAUACCUCUUGAACGAUCCCUAUAGAUCUGUAUACCCAACAUAAAAGAUGCAUCACCAAGGUCCUUCAUAUCAAAUUUACUAGAUAGAAAUCGUUUGGUUUCAUGCAAAAGUCCUACAUCACUACUUGCAAGUAGAAUAUCAUUAACAUAUAGCACCAAUAUAAUGAAUUUUCUCCCACUAAACUUGAGGUAUAUGCAUUGAUCAACGGUGUUCUCCUUAAAACCAAAUGAAGUGAUCACCUGAUCAAACUUUCGGUACCAUUGUCGGGAUGCUUGCUUUAAACCAUAUAUGGACCUUUUUAAUCUGCAUACAAGUUGCUUUGAAUCAUUAGACUCAAAGUUCUCCGAUUGCACCAUGUAUAUUGUUUCAUCAAUGUUACCAUUAAGAAACACAGUUUUAACGUCCAUUUGAUGCAGCUCUAAAUCAUAAUGAGCUAGAAGUGCCAUGAUGAUUCUAAAGGAGUCCUUUGACAAAACCGGUGAAAAUGUCUCCUUAUAAUCAAUGUCUUCCUUUUGAGUGAAACCUUUUGCGACUAGGCGUGCCUUAUACAUAACAAUGUUGCCUUUUGAAUCCCGCUUGGUCUUAAAAAUCCAUUUACAACCAAUCGGUUUUACACCUUCAGGCAACUCUACUAAGUCCCAAACACCAUUGUCUUUUAUUGAUUUCAUCUCAUCCUUCAUGGCUUCUAUCCACUUUUCAGAGUCAAAACUUUGUUUGACUUGGCUACCUGAAAUUGGAUCGUCUUCCAUACCCAUGUCAAACUCAUGUUCUUGGAGAUAUACAACAUAAUCAUCUGAAAUUGUACUUCUUCUUUCUCUAGUGGAUCUCCUUAGUGGCACUUGUACUUGAGGUUCUUGAGUUACCUCUUCAUGAACUUGAAUCAGUUCUAUAACUUGAGUAGGAGGAAUCUCAGGUGUGUCUUGAAUUUCUGUUAUCGACUAUACAUUUUGAAUAGUGUCAUCAAACAUAAUAUAACGAUGUCCAGUCGUAAUAAUAAGAAUACUAACAUAUUCCUCUUCAAAAACCACCUUUCUUAACGGUUCUCUCCCACUUAACUCAACAUCCUCAAUGAACUUAGCAUUGCCCGUUUCAAAGAAGGAUCUACUUGAGGGGUCAUAAAAUUUGAAGCCUUUCGACCUUUCAGAAUACCCUACAAAGUAGUAGCUCACUGUUCUGGAGUCCAAUUUCUUUUCAUUUGGCUUAUAAGGUUUAGCUUCAGCUGGACAACCCUAAACAUGCAAGUGCCUAAUACUAGGUUUCUUGCUAGUCCAUAACUCAUAUGGGGUUUUGGCUACUGCUUUGCUUGGUACUCUAUUCAAAAUGUAAACUGCAGUUUUGAUAGCUUCGCCCCAAAGUGAUUCUGGUAAGGUGGAAUGACUGAUCAUACUUCUUACCAUAUCCUUAAGAGUACGGUUUCACCUUUAUGCUAUACCAUUUUGGCUUGGAGUCCCUGGUAUGGUGUACUGAGGAACGAUACCACACUCCAUCAAAUAUUUGGCGAAUGGCCCUGAACGUUGUUCAUCGGAUUCAUCAUAUCUACCAUAGUAUUCACCUCCACGGUCAGAUCCGACGACCUUUAUUUUCUUGCUUAAUUGGUUCUCAACUUCAGCUUUGAAAUUCUUGAACACAUCCAAUGACUGAGACUUCUCAUGAAUCAAAUAAAGAUAGCCAUAGCGUGAGUAAUCGUCAAUGAAAGUGAUAAAAUAUUGUUGUCCAUUCCAAGGUGUAGGAAAUGGACCACAAAGGUCCGUAUGUAUCAAUUCCAAGACGUCACUGCACCUAUUGGCAUCCUUUUUCCUCAUAUUUGUUUGUUUACCCUUAAUGCACUCUAUAUAGACUUGAAAGUUUGAGAAAUCAAGUGGAUCAAGAAUUCCUUCUAACACAAGCCUUUGAAUUCGUUGAUUUGAAAUAUGACCCAAACGCCUAUGCUAUAACAUUGAUGAAUUCUCAUUCAUUAAUUUUCGCUUAAUGCCAUAAUUACUUGAAUGCAAGGUUUCAUUUCCAUUAGUGACCUUUAUGUUCAAUUUGUAUAAUUUGUCUGUUAGACUACUUGUACCGAUAACGUUUGAAUUUAGAUAAAGACUAACCAUUCCAUUUCUAAAUGAACAACAAUAUCCAAAUUUGUCCAGACAUGAAAUAGAAAUUAAAUUCCGUCUAAACGACGAUACUACAAAAGUCUCUUCCAAAUCCAAAGUAUAUCCAAAGUCUAACUGUAAUAUAAAAAGACCAAUAGCCUUGACUGAAGCCUUGUUGCCAUUUCCCACAUAAAUGUAUCUUUCACCAUCAGUUGGUAUUCGGCUCAUUAGGCAACCUUGCAUAGUGACACUUAUGUGAGUAGUUGCACCCGUAUCUAUCCACCAAUUGUCAGUAGGCACUACAACUAAAUUAAUUUCUAAACAAACAAAGUUGAGAAGUGUACCUUUCUUUUCACGCCAAGCAGCGUAUUUGGUACAUGUCUUCUUCAUAUGACCAGCCCUUUUGUAAAAGAAACAAGUGAUUUCCUUAUCUUGUUUCUUCUGCACCUUUUGCUUUGAUGUCCUAGAAACUGUAGUUUGUUUUCCUUUAUUGUCCCUCUUUCUUUUCUUGUUAGUACCAAAUCCCUAAGAUGUGGAAGCCAAGUGAGCACUUUCUAUCUUCUCUUGUUUCAAUCUCUCUUCCUUUUGUACACACUAAGCAAUAAGCUCAUUCAAAGUCCAUUUUUCCUUUUAUGUGUUAUAACUGAUUUUGAAUGGACUAAAUUGUGUAGGCAGAGAGAUCAAGACCAAGUGCACGAGUAUGUCUUCCGAAAACUCUAACUUUAGUGCCUUGAGUCUAGUCACAAGAUUAGACAUUUCCAUAAUGUACUCCCUUAUAUUCUCUUUCCCUUUAUACCGUAUAGAGACAAGCUUACUAAGAAUAGUGUUUGUCUCAACCUUUUCGUUUGCAGCGAAUCGUUUUGCUAUUUGGUCCAAGAAUGCCUUGGCUCAGGUUUCCUCAGGUAUUCACCCCUUAUAACUUCUGGAAUUGAGUGCUUCAUUAUCAUUAGACUCAUAUGAUUGGAUUGCUCCCAUUUUUCCAUAGUAGACCUUUGCUCAGUAGUACUGGCACUAGUAAGAUCUGAAAGGCGAUCCUCUCUUAAUGAAUAGUCUAAAUCCAUGCACCCGAGCACAAUUAUAACAUGCUCCUUCCAUUUCUUGAAGUUUGUUCCAUUAAGCACAAGAAUGUUAUUGACAUUUGCAGAUAUAGAAGAUGCUAAAUUCAUAAUAAUAUAGCUCACAAUCAGUUAUAUAAUCAUCACACAUACAUGAAUAAAUAAAAAUUUAACAUAUAUAUGUAUAUGCAUGUGGACAUAUAACAAUAUACCUAACACAAACAUCAAUAUUCAGUCUUUGGACAUAAAUAUCAACUUGUAAUUGGCAUCAUUUUCAAUAUUAAUUUAUAAAUAUUGACAAUAAAACCAAAAACAAUAUGUUUGUCUUUGGACUAACAUACUGAAUACAAGAUAAACUUUAUAUGUCACAUAUUUAUGAUUACUUUAUUUAUUAUUAUAUUAAAAUAAUCUUCCUUUGGGUCGAUUAUUUUAAAUAAUAAUAAUAAUAAUAACAUGUUUAGAUAUUAUAAAAUAAAAAUAAACAAAUUAUAUAAUAUAAGUUACUUUGGCAACUGAUAUACAUAAUUUAUUUAUUUUAAAAUAUUAAACACAAACAUAACAAGAAAUAAUAAAUUUCCAAAAAGAAUACAGAAAUUCAUCAGAAUCAUAAUUUUUAUAUACAGAAUCAUUAACAAACAUAAUGGUUCUAUAGUUCAGUUGGUUGAGCACAAGGCUUUCAACCUUGUGGUCAUGGGUUCAAGCUUCCAUAGUGAGCGUUUUUUUUUUAUUCCUUUUUCACUGGGCUUGACAUUUAUGGUACAGAAUCAUCAAGAAACAUAAUGGUUCUGUAGCUCAGUUGGUUGAGCACAAGGCUUUCAACCAAUGUUUUAAAAACCAGACCGGACCGGUCGGUCCAACCGGUUCAAUCGUCGACCGCUCACCAAUCCGGUCCGGUUUGCCUUAUCAAACCGUUUAGACAUUGAACCGAUCAUGAACCACCUAAAUCAGCGGUCGGAUCGGUGAACCGAUGGAACCGGACAGUUCUAAAUGAACCGAUCGGUUCAAAUUGGCCCAUCAUUUUGCAAGCAGAAGACCCCAUCAUAUAAAAACUAAACAAAACACCAUACUGGACCAUGACAAAAAACCAUACUGGGCCUAGCUUAGUGACAAAGCCCACACCCACUCAAUUGUUUUAAGCAGGCUGAAUCUUUGAGCCCACAAGAUGGGAUAGUGUUGUUGCUUUCAACGAGGAUACCUUUUAUAGGCAUCCUUUGCACCCUUAUUUCUCUCAAAUUUCGAUGUGGGAUUGCAAACUAGUAUUAAUGAAAAAAAACUAACAACUUCAGCCAAGAGGAUUUGAAGCUGGGACCUUACGUUUGGAAGUAAACUUGACACCACUCGGCUACAAGCUAUUUGAUAUUUGAUUUUCCAAACAAAAUAAUAUAUAUUUGAUUUUAAAUUUUUUUAUAAUAUUAAAUAAAAAUAAUAUGAUAUUUUUAAAAAUUAUAAAAUUAGCUAAAAUUUUCAUUUUUAAUAUAUUCACAUUUAAAUAUUAUACACAUUUCAUUUAAUAAAAUUUAAAAUAUUAAUUUGAUAUAUUCAUAUAUAUUUUAAAAUUUUUAUAAUUAUUUUUAAUUUUAAUAAUAUAUAAAUUACAUAUUUAUGACGUCACCGGUUCGACCGCGGUUCGACCACCAGUUCGACCGGUGAACCGUGAACCAGUAACUUUUCUAGUUCAAUGACCGGUCUGGUUCUGAAAACAUUGCUUUCAACCUUGUGCUCAUGUGUUCGAGCUUCCUUAGUGGGCAUUUUUUUUUAUUCUUUUUUUUUUUACUGGGCUUGGACAAAUCACACGUAUUUGUGCUUUCCAUAUAUAUAUAUAUAUUAAAGCAUGAAUAGUGCACGAACGGCGCACCAGUGACGCUCGAAUUGCACACCAACGGAGCAUGAAUGAUGACUUGUAGCCCCAAAAAAUGGCGUUUCCAAUGGCGCCUCCAAAGGCGCCUUAAACGACGCCUGAAAUGACGCUUCUGGAGCACUUGAAAACGGUGCUUCUAGACCGCCUGAACGGCGUCGUUAAAGAACCUGAAUGGCGCUUAAAAAAUGGCGCCUUAACGACUUCGAAAUGACGCUUGAGAACAGCGCCUGCAACACAGUUUGGAACAGCCUCUAAAGGGCGCUUGGAGUGCGCCUGGAAUAGCCUUUGAAGGGUGCCUGGAUUGGCGUCUGAAGCGGUCUUGUUGCGUGCCUUGAAUGGCGCCUGAACGACGCCUCAAAUGGUGACUUUUGAAUGCCUAAAAAAGGCGCCAGAAUGACACCUAAACUGCAUCCAUUUUGAACGCCGUCUUAACGGCGCCUGAAAUGGUGCUGAAUGGCACCUAGAAUUAGCCUAGAUUUAUUUUCUGUUGUUUCUGUAUUAAUAAGUGUUUUGGUGAAAAUGGGAGGCUCUGAUACCAAUUGUUAGAUUUAUUUAUUUUCCAUUAUCACUCAAGACACAAAAAAACAUGAUAUAUAUAUAUAUAUAUAUAUAUAUAUAUAUAUAUAUAUAUAUAUAUAUAUAUGUAUAUCAAACAUUCAAAACAUUCUUUUGAUCUUUGAUCUUUGGAUAAGGAACCAACUUGAAUCCAUUUUAGAUUUUGUUGAAGAUGUAUGGAUCUUCUAAGGCUGUGGAGGGCACCACUUUUCUUUGAAUUCUCUCUGAUGAUGGGAGCGGGAGAGAACAAGUUUCUUUUGUUUCAAAACGUUGUUCUCAUAUAAGAAACUGACACUUGGAUUUAUACCCUCUUGCCUCAGGGACCAUACCCUUUGGCUAUUGGGCCUCACGAGUCUUAAGCCCAUCAUCUAAGGCCCGUGAUGGCAUUGGGCUCUACACAUAGAUGGCCCAUACUCUUGAUCAAAUAGAAAUCAUAUAUAUAUGGAUAGCUAAAUCCCGACAAUGUUUAAUAUAAUGUAGGUCUAUAUUUAUUCUAUCAAGAGUGUCAUAGAAAAUCAUUUUUACAAAGUUGCCCUAAUUUUUUUUUAUAUAAUUUUUCACGCCUCAAAAAUAAUUAUUACAAUAAUAAUUUGCUUAAAUAAAAUACAUGAAAAAUAAAUUAAAAAAUCAUAAAAUAAUCCCUAUUAUGAAUAUUCACUAAUAUUUUUAGGAAUAUUAAAAUAUAUAGAUAAUAAAUUUUACACUGAAUUUUUUUUAAUUAACUAAAUUGAAUAAUUAAUAAAUUAAUACAAAAUUAAAUACAAACAACUCAGAAAAAUAUAAGAGGUCAUGCAAAAAAUAAAAUAACUAUAAAAUAUUUUUUGUUUCCAAUAGAAAAAAUAGAAAAAAAAAAAAGCUAGAAAAUUAAGAAAAAUGAGAGGAGUUCUCACUCUUGGCUAAUUUUGUUUUCAUGCUCUCAAGAUUCCAUUAAACUAUUUGCUUUUCCGUUUUGACAUCUUGAAGUUUGUUAAUCAAAUCAUGCACACACGAAUAUAAAAUAAAGAAAAAAUGCAAAAGUUUUAAUGUGGUUCAACGAUUAAUGUGAUUCCUAUGCUUAUGGAGUGCACCAACACUUAAUAAUCCACUAAUCAUAAAAAAUAAGAAGAAUUAUAGUGGUAAAACUUUCAAAAAAACCCUCUUAAUUGUGGUCACACUUUCUAAAAAACAAAAUCCUAAACAUAGAAGGGUUAAAUAUAUAAUGGGGACAAACUUGUCAUCAUUAAAAAAAAAAAAAAAAAAUCUCCAAGAGGUGUUGCCCCCUUCAACUAGCUAACCAAAUAACUCGACUUUUGACAUUCUAAGCAAAAUGCAACAAAACUAAUUUAGGUUUCACAAUCUAAUAAAGUUCAUGUUUGAAAAUCACUUUCUACAUUGAGAUUGAAGUCGUAACUUUGAGGAAAAAAAAAUCAUAUUUUUUUAAUUGUUUUACAUGAAUGUUUUAAAAAAUCACAUCUUUUAUCAAUUUUUGUCAAUAAAAUUAUAAGGGAAUGUCGUUUUAAAUCACUUUUAAAUAUAUUUCAGAAGGGAUCUAAUGUGUAAUUAAAGUUGUUUCAUUUUUUAUAAAUAUAAAUAAAUAAAGUUUGCAUAAUAUGCAUAGUGAUGCAUGGUAAUAACAUCUGAGUAGUGUUUGUGCCCCGAAGCCAAUGUUGAAAAAAAAUAUAAUAAUUGAUUAAAAAUGAUGAAAUAAUCCUUAUAUUUGUGAAUUUAUCCCCUUCCAUGCUUUUGUCUAAAGAGUAACUCAUUUUUUUUUUUUAUAUAAAUGUCAUUCUAUAUUUUGAAAGAAAUGGUUAUUUUUACAAGAAAACAAAAAAUGUACUUUUGUCAAAAUAAGGUUGAAAAAGGAUGAAAUGUUAGAUUUCUAAAAUUGGAUUUCCAAUGAUCCUCUUAAUCAAAUUGCCCAAAAAAAAAAUAAUUAAAUUUUGUUUUUUUAAUGGGUGAAGAUAUAAAUCCAAAAAAAAAAAAUCAAUUCAAAAACACUUUUACACUAUUAGCAAUAAUAAUAAUAAUAAUAAUAAUAAUAAUAAUUAAUAAAUAUAGAACAAUAAAAAUAAUAGUGCAAGACGUAUAUCUCCUUUUAUCCUCACUCUUUUGUAUUUUUGUUAAUCAAACCAUGCAUACACAUGAAUAGAAAAAAAAAAAAAACAUAAAAUUUUCGAUGUGAUCCCUAUAUUUACAGAGUGCAUGAAUACUUAAUCAAAGAAAAGAGGAGUACAAUGAUGAAGUUCUAAAACAAACUUGUCAUACUACUUUUUGUGCUUUGAAGCCAAUUAUAUAUAUAUAUAUAUAUAUAUAUAUAAAUCAAAAAGUAUAAUUCAUAUAUAUUUUUUCAUUAUUAGAAAUAAUAAUAAUUAAUAAAUAUAGAACCACCUAGAUCUCCCUUCAUCCUCUCUUUUUUGUAUUUUUACUUCUUACUCUUCCUUUUUCUUUUUCAUUCUUUAUUCUUUAACCAAUCUCUAGAAAAAGCUUUAUCACUAGGGAGAGCUUUAUCUUUCCAAGCUUUUAGUGUAUCUGGAACAAAAGAAGAAAUCAUCUCUCUUUAGUCCUUAGUCUUGAAGUCAGCACAGGGCAAAGAAUAUGGGUGCCUUAUAAUCUUUUAUAAAGAACAAAGAAUAAUUGUUCUUUAUAAAUUAGAAAGAAAACUCUCACAGGUUUCAUCACUUUUACUCUCUCUCUCUCUCUCUCUCUCACCAGUUUCAUAUAUACUGAGAGAUCUCACCACUUUUUUUCCUGCACCAGUUUCUUAUCAGCUUCAGGUAAAUCCAUUUUUAUUUUCACUUCUUUCUUUAAUGUUGAAUUUUAGUUGAUAUUUACAUAAGAGCUAGCCAUGAUGGUCAAUUUUUUCAUGUUGAGUUAUCUAUAGAUGAGGUUCAAGCAUCAAUGCACCAACCUUAUCAUCUUUAAAAAGAUGUAAAAGAGAAACAAUUUUUUUUUUUUAAAGUAAAACAGUCUCAAAAAUCAAAGCAAAUAUUUUAACUAAAUAAUAAAAAAAAAUUAAUUAACAACAACAAGAAAAUGCCACAAAGAAUUGGCUUUGAUGAUCCAUUUAUGAUUGGAUUGGAUAGGAGUGGUGACAUUUUAGUUUUUUUUUUUUUUUUUUUUUAAACAGUACCAAAUAUAUGAUGCUCUAUUAACAUGCUUAUGUUCUAAUAAAAUUGCUUCAAGUGUCCAUUAUAUGCUUAAUUAUUUAAUUAGUAGUGACAUCAAAUUAAAAGUGCGUUUAACAAUAUUCUUACUUGAAGUAUUUUAUCCAAAGUGUUUUUAGGAGAAUCAUUUCCUAAAUUUUAUUAAACACCAAAUUGUUUUUCUUUAAAAAAACUUUUCAUGCUAAAACGUUUUUAAAAUCACUGUGAAAUAGACUCUAAAUCAAUCACUUUUGUCUAAUCUUGUGAGUAUGGAUGGUAGCUCUCAUGGCUGCAACCGACGUGGCAGUGCAUUUAUACUGGAAUGGAAGAGUGAAAACCAAAAAAUAUGAUGUUGUUUAUGAAGGUGGCGACAUGAAUGUGAUGCCUAUUAAGCUCAACCAUGGAACUACGUAUUUUGGAUUGUUGGAUAAAAUCUACGCAACUACAGGCAUAAAGAGGACGGAUUUUGAGUUGAACAUCAUAUGCAGAUACCCUAUAUCUUCAAGGGAAUAUAAGCCCAUCCCAAUAAAGAAUGACGAGGCCGUAGACCUCAUGUUGAAAGUGCCAUGCAGAUCAUUUCGAGUCUACUGUGUGGAGAUAUAUUUGGAGGCAACGCGUUGUGUGAAAUCUCUUCUCCGGGAAUCUGCUCAAAUGUGGGAAUCUGAGUGUUAGGAUAUAGUAAUUUUAUUGUGUUGAAUUGGCUUAUAUAUCAAAUCAGUCAGUGUUCAGGGAUUGAAUUAAGUUUGGUAUGGCAUGAUAAUAUGUGAUCUAGUUUGUAUAAUUCUAUUUUUUUUCUCUCAUUUUGUAUAUUAAUAACCAUAUUCAAGAAAAAAUUUAUAAUUUUUGUUUAUUUUCUCUUUUUG